AUCAUUUUUGUAGGGCAUGGUGGAGUGAAGGAUUACAACGGAUAGUACCUUCACUAGAUAAUGUUGUUUGCAGGCUGUAAGCUAGCUAGUUCGUCGCUUCAUCCUGCCACUUCUUCUCAACUCAAUUCAAAGACAAGAACUCUGUUCAGUAUAUUUAGGGGUAAAUAAGAAUCCCGUAGUACACUUAUGGCUCUAGGUUGGCUACCACACUAGUUUACUCGCGUGGUGACUUUCUACUACGCAGUAUCGGUGGUUAUAGCUUUUUCCGUUUACCAAACUUCCAAACCAUGUCCUUGGCACUAGUGGCGGACCUAGAAUUUUUUUUUCAGGGGGGCGAAAAAAUUUCACUUCAGCAGUUGGAGCCAAGCAGUCCCUUUCAAUUAUGCUUAAAGAACUAAAAGAAGGCUAUCAGCACUUCAGCAGUAUAUGGAGCUCAAUCCAAAUUAUAAAAAAGUCCAAAUAAUGUCUAUCAUAAACCCAUGAUUUAAAUAUAAAAACCCUAACUUGAUCUAACAUCUAACAACAACAACAAUAACAACUUAACUUUUAAUUUAAUGAGGUAGGUAGGGGGUAAAAGAUAUAAAAUAAGUUUUCUAUCAUAUCAAAGAAAUCCCUACCAAGUGAAGAGGACGAAACCCUAAUUUUUUUCUUCUAAUUCCUCCAAAAGAGCAGAUUUUUAGCUUGUUGAGAAGAGUUUAAAGAGUAGAUCAACUUUUUUACUUAGAUGUUUCACUCAAUUUCACUUUAGUUUGGUGAAAAAACGAAAAAAGAAAGGAGCGAAGCGUCUCAGUGGAGAAGAAACAUAGAAGAAGGAAAGAAAAAGGGGAAAUAAUUGGAGUUCAAGAGAGAGAUACAAGUAAUUACAUAGUUCGACCCUAAAAUAUAUAGAUAUAUCACAAUUAGACUUAUAAGUUUAUUUAUUCUAAAUUUCAUCCCUAACCAAGAAUUUUUUCCCCAGAUUUCAAGGGGGGUGGCCGCCUACCGUCGGCCCUUGGUAGGUCCCCCUGCUUGGCACUUCGUAAUAAUUAUAUUCAUUGCUUCAAGUGUUGUUUUUACGCAACUUGAAUUAAGUAUAUUGAAUUGAUAGUUUAUUUCACCGUAGUUUGGUAAAACCCCGCGCGUGUGUAGCCCUUUUCAACCGGGUAGCGUUCUUGGAGAAGAUCAAAUCAGAAACCCGUUGCCCUGGGAUACCAUGUUUUCUCCUCUUUGGUCAUUCAACUGGAGCGGCAGUCAUUUUGAAGUAAGUCCAAUUCACUGAUUUAACACCUACUUUUCAUCAAGAAAAUCAUUAGAUUUUUACUAAUCGUUAUCUUGAUACCUGCCUGCAACUUUAUAGAGAGGCGGCUUCCCACUCCACGCAUUGAGCAAAGUUGCAAUGCAGAAAAUUGCAGUGCAUCACCAGCAUUGGAAAUUAAACCAGAGCAUCCAAUAGUUGGUGUACGUUUUUCUUAUCUCACCAAGAGCCCGUUAUAUCAAACAGCAUGGUCCAACAUUUCUGUUAAUGCCUGAUUGUUUUUAACCUGAUAAAUGAGAAGUGAGGAAUCUAAUCUAAAACGCAACGCACUUUCACUUUUUCUUUAAAAAACUGCUGUUCGCACACUGAGUCUUAAACCAAACUACAAAGCUAUCCUGUGGCUAGGGAUGAUACUAGGCAAACAGCAGAGCAUAUGGCCAAACUUAAAACUGUUAGUUGUGUUUGGAUCAAGUAUUUGGUGAGGAAAAAAGAAAUAAAAAAUAAAAAGGUAGAUGAUACAAUAGUCCCCCGAACGAUUGGAUCAUCUAUAACUUUCCAUUUCUCUUUUCCCUUUCCCUCAGGCAAAUUUGGAUCCAACACAGAGCUUUCUCCCCUUCCCCCCGGUCCCAUGAGAAGUCUGAACGGGCCACGAGAUCUUGCGCAUCUCUCCACUUACUGUUACUUCGGACUUCAAUUUCCGUGACGUCCCAUUCUUUGUCCCCCUUAAACCGCCUGACAGUAACCAAUCCCACUGGUGUCCCAGACUUGUACAAGGAGGCCCCUCUACGGACAGGGCAUAAAUCUGUACGAGGGCUUCUUGCACGCACCUUCUCCUUGGCCCGAGCGCGACGAAUGUGGCCAGGACAUCACACUUGGAGGGAAGAGAUUAAAACUCAGGCAAUCAUGAAAAUCUAAUAGCCAUGUGAAAUAGCUCAGAUGCGAAAUGAGUCUUGGUUUUUCGAGGGGAUUGAUCAGGUUGGUGAUCCGUUUCUUAAAUUUUAUUAUAUCCGAGCUCUGGGACUGAUGGAUGGCAUAGUGAAUGGAAGUAGUAUUAAAAUGUACUACAGAUGAUACAGAAAAAUAAAAAUGAAAUUGAACUAUGCUUCUCUAAAGUUUAGAGAACUUUACCAUUAAGUUUAGCUAAUGUGGGCCUGGCUCACUGACGAAAGUGUUCAUUUUAUAUUCCCUAAAGAGAAGAUCAUCCCAUCCGAACCAAAAACAAGGUUGAUUAGAAAUUGUUUCCACAAUAUCAAAGACACUGUAUCAUGUUUCAUGCAUUAUAUGGGGUCUACAGAUUUUAAUAAUAUCUUAUUGGAAUUGUCCAUUUUAUAGAUUCGCCGAGUUACCCGAGUAUAUAACGCAUACAAAAGUUUAAAUUGUUCGGACAUUAAUAACCACAUGAUCGGAGCAUGUUUGUAUAAAAAUAGUUUGAUCAUGUAAUUAUAAAUGUUCGAUCAACUUGAUAUUUAUGGUGGAUGGUUUAUUCAUUGAUCCCUACAACAUCAAUAGUUUGAUCAUAUAACUGAACACAGGAUGGGGCCAUAAGAUGCAGGCAACAUAGUGAUGUUACCUACCCAAACCCCUGUCCAAUAACAUUCAUUUGGAUGGAUCAAGUAUGAUUUUCAACUGUCCAAUAACAUUCAUUUGGAUGGAUCAAGUAUGAUUUUCAACGUAGAUUGUUCAAUUUUUUUUAAAACAAAUAUGUUUUGAGAAUGUGAUUAUUGAUAUCCAAUCAAUUUAAUUAUUUAUAUGAAUGAUUUUGCCGAUAAAUUUUACAAGAUUAACAGAUCACUGGGUAGGUUGGAGUGAAAAUGGGCUUUAUUUUCCGUUUAUUUUUUGAAGUAACAAAACACCAUAUCAACAUCGGCAACAACUUUACCAGUUAGAUGUUAGAAGCAACAGUUGUGGGUAGAGUGACUGAAGUCCAUCAUUUCCCAUGUUGAGCGUAAGAGCUUGACUGUGACUUUGCCUUCUUGUUUAAAAGCGACUAUUUUCGUCUUCAGUAAUAAUAAUAAUAAUUUGAUAGGAAAUUGUGCAUUUUCAAACUGUUUUCUCGUUAAAAAGAAUUGAAAAAAUAUAAAAUUCUUAUGACACAAUAAAAAAAAGACUCACCAAAAGUUCUCAAAAAAUAAAAUCAAAAAAUUCUAAAAAUACUUGCCCCAAACAGGCAAAUGACAAAAUUUGAGUCUGUAAUUGUGCUCAAUAUCUUUUUUUUAUACGGCUGAAACAUACGAGACCCAUAUGAAAUGUAUAUAUUGUAAAUUAAAUAGUAAAAGUUUUGUUGUUGACAAAAUUUUGUCAACAACAAACUUGGUAAAUUAUGUGUAGUAAAAAAUGGAGUUCCAACGAUAGCUCAAAUCUCUAGCUAAAAUUUGACAAACUCAAAAUUAAUGUUAAAUUUGAUACAAGAAAUGAUUUUAUUAAACUUGUCAAGUUAUCACUAAUAUUUAAAUAUUUAAUACAUUUUUAUCAAACGGAAAAAAAUAGUAACGAUAUGAAAAAUGUCAUUGUAUUCAUGCAGCAAUAUGAUCAUUUUUUACCAUUUUUUGACACUAAUCGAUUUUAACUUUUGUCAAAAUAGUUUCAAUCAUUUAGUUGCACUAAGAAAAUUAUGUUAAAGCUCAAAAGUCCACCCCAACCCCAACUAAUACAUCAACACCGUAUAUUCAUGUUUGUAUAAUGAGAAUAUAAUUUAAAUUAUGGUAAAUUACACUGACCCACCUCCCUUAAGUUCCAAUUAAUACGCAAAGUAUCCUGAUAUUUGAAAAAUUAUAAAUGGACCUCUUCCUAAAGUUUAAAACUUGUACAGAGUCCCCAUUUUGCAAUGACCAAUCCUAAGGAUUGGGGUAAUAAACACAAGCACUCUUGACGUCAAUAAAUCAUUUGUCAAAAAGAUUAAAAAAAAAAAAAUAACUUUUUUAGGGUUAUUUUGUGGAUUAUAUUAACUCUGAACUUCAGGGUAUCAGUGUUAAAUGUAAAAAUGGAGAACUGUUAUAAGUUUCGAACAUUUAGAGGAGGUCAUUGUAAGGUUUAAAACCAUUAAAGGGUACUUUUUGUAUUAACUCGGAACUUUAGGGGAGGUCAGUGUAAUUUACCUUUAAAUUAAAUGAAGGACAUCUCGAUAUGGGGCCCCAGUAAACCGGUGAUUGUGGACUGUUUUUACGAGUAAUUACAAUGGAUUCCUUAACGGGCGUUUGGCUGGCGAUUAUGGAAGGUUAUAAGUUUUAAAGGGGAGAUCAAUUUUAGAGAGGAAUAACUUUUGAAGGGGGAUACACUUUUAACUUUGUUGGAUACUUUUUAGAAUGGUGGAUAAGGGUGGAUGAUAAGAAAGAAAAUAUAGAGAGAGAAACAAAAUAUAAAAUAUUUUAAAUAUUAAAAAAAUAUAUUUAUUUCUAUAUAUUAUAUAUAUACUAAAAAAUAUACAUUUUGUUUUCUCUUUAUUAUUUUUUUUCUGAUCCCUCACCCCCUUAUCCCCGGAUAAACUUUUAGGUAAGAGGUCUAGGCCACCAAAAAAUUAUCCGCCUCUAUCCACGUCUGGGGGAAAAAGUACCGGGGGCAUUAAAUUAUACGCCCGCUUAUCGCCAGCCAAAACGACAUGGGAGAAGAAAAAAAUACCGGGAGAAAAAAUUAUCCCGCCUCCGUAUCCGCAAGCAAACGACAUGGGAGGAAAAAUUAUACGGGGGGAAAAAAAAUUAUCACCCUCCUAAUGCCACCAGCCAAACAGCCCUAAGUAUUAAAGAUUUCCAAUUUACCCUUAAACAAUAAUUGAUCAAAUUGACACCUAUACUAUUUAACUGUCUCACUUGAGGCCAAUAUCUAACUGCCGUUUUACUUACGACCGAAACGGCGACCGCGUGGUGAAAAACUUAAUGCCAUGGGGCAACACAUGGCGUUGUCUCCUACCCAACCCGUUUUUGCUCCUCACUUGAGUUGAUGGCUUUUUUCCUAAAAUUUCUUUUCGCAAUCAAAGAUAACUAAUAAUCGCUUGCAUAUUGUAAUAAUUGUUAUAUAAAUUUCGAAAUCUGUUUUUAAAUUUAGAUGGAAAAAAAAAUAAAAUAUAAAAUAAAUUUGAAUCUAAACUAUCAAAUUAUAACAAAAUAACAUAAAAUUGUUAUUGAAAUAAAUAAUAAAUAAAAUUAAAACGAGACCAGGCGUUCAACACUCCGCCUUAAGAUAUAAUCGUCUCAUUACGUAAUGCUUACUGCUGAUUAACGUCCGUCUCCAAGAUACAACAGUCACACGCAGAGAAAAAAAUAUUAUUUUUCAGGCGGACAUGAAAAUCGAGGUAGUACGAUAAUUAAUACAAAAUUAUCAAAAGUCUUCAAAUCUAGUAUUUGUCUCCAAAUUAAUACAAAGUUAUCAUGUCCACCUGAAAAUAAAUUAAGUAGGAAAGUAUAUAAUUCAAUGGGAAUAUGUUAAAUUGAAUAAUGGCUCAACGACAAAUAUAGAAUAGCUCAAUGAAUCAUCAAAUCAUUAAAGACCUCGUACUCAGUCUUUCUUGAUACAUUACUGGUGGCCGACCUCACCCACCUCACAUAGCUCUUUGGGUUUUUUAAAAUUAUUGGUCAAGCUAUUGGUGGGUCUAUUCAGUCAAUAUAUUAAUCAAUACCAUAACAUUUUAGCCACCAUAUAAGAAAAUCUUACAUAUCAUGAUUCUAAUAAAAAUAUCAUAAAUUUUAAUAGAUAAUAUACAUGCUCAAAAAGAAUAUAAAAUUUAGAAAGCAUAUUAUAUACUUCUACUUAUAUCAAAUCAAAAUCGUGACCAUUAACUAGGUUGAUCUGUCAACUACAAACAACAUAUUUAAUUUUCAUAUCGAUAGGAUGUCGUAUCUCAUCGUUAAUUUUAAGUUCUAACUUUUUAUGAUCAUGACUAACCACGUUAUAUAAUUUAACUUUUCCCAAAUACUCCAUUCUCUGCCCAAAUUUCUUCUCUCUGCCCAAAUCUGCCCAAAUUUCUUCUCUCUCUACUGCCUUCUGUCUCUGUAUUUCCAAGCUCUCUUUAUAUUUGUAGCUUUUUUUUUCUAAGAAAAGAAGACAAAUAACAUGAUUGCAUUUGACAUCUCAAUGCAUGAGGUGUCCCAUGUGUCUCACCAGAUAAAUACAUGGUCUACAAUGAGCCAUGUGACCAAUUUGUCUCCAUAUAAAAUAGGUCAUGUGGCUAAUGCUUCACAUGUUCCCGAGUCAUUCCAUAUUGGACAUGUAUUCAGUUUUUUAUCUGUAAUUAUAGAAAUAUUUCAAAUAGAAAUUAAAUAUUAUAAAAUUUUUAAAAAUUACAAAAAUACUACAAGUAAUGAAAUAAGAAUAUUAAAAUUAAUUAUGGAUGGUUGGGUUAUUACAUUUUAGUUGUAGCUUGAAAGUUUAUAAUUUUUUAACAUCUUAUGCGAGUUCAUUACACAGAAAUUUAAGAGUUUAUCAGUGAAAAAAAUAUAUAGAAUUUCUGGCAUUCUACAUUAGAGUCUUCAUGAAAGAGCAACACUGUUAGCUGGUUCGUCGAGCACAUAAAAAUAAUGUUACUUUCUUUACGCGUGACUGUUGUAUUCUGGAGACAGACGUUAAUCAGCUGUAAGCACCAAGUAACGAGACGAAUUCUAUCUUAAGACAAUGUUAAACAAUAAUUUCGGUUUUAUUUUUUGUUUAUUGUUUAUUUCAAUGCAUACUUUAUGUUAUUUUGCUAUAAUUUAAUUGUUUAGAUUUCAAAUUUAUUUUAAAUUUUAUUUUUUACAUCUAAAUUCAACAUAUUCGCUCAAAUUUAUAUAACAAUUAUUACAAUAUGCCGCUAAUAUUUUUUUUUUUUUUGAUGGCGAAAAGAAAUUUAGGAAAAAGAAUCAACUCCAUGAGGAGUCCCCCAAAAAACCAAACCAAAAACAAAACGGGCAGAGGUAGUGGGGUUGGGGGUUGGUGGAGUGUAUAGUAAGGAGAGGAGGGGGGAGGGCCCCAAAACGUAUUUGGGUAGGAGACAAACGCAUGUGUUGGGGGGGGGCCCUAGCUUUCACUCAACGCGUCGCCCGGGGUUGCGGGGGUAGAUAAUUCAAACGGCAGUUAUAUAUUGACCUCAAGUGAAAACAGUUAAAUAGUAUAGGCGUCAAUUUGAAUCAAUAAUUGUUUAGGUUAAAUUGGAAAUAUUUCAUACUUAAGGGAUACAGUGUAGUUGCUCGUAAAAAAGAAUCACAAUCACUGGAUUACUGGGGCCCAAAUCGAGACGUCCUCCAUUUGUCACAAUCACCAGGGGCCUGGGGCCAUAUCGAGAUGUCCUCCAUUAAUUUAAAUUAUCUUCUCAUAAUGGUUGGGGUAGGGGUGGACUUUUGAGCUUUAACAUAAUUUUCUUAGUGCAACUAAAUGGUUGAAACUAUUUUAAAAAAGUUAAAAAAAAAAUUAAUUUUUACACUCCAAAUAAGAUUUAGAGUGAAAAAUGCAAUGUUCAUAUUUUGAAACUAUUUUAAAAAAGUUAAAAUCGAUUAGCGUCAAAAUGAUAUAUCCAAAAAGGAAUCAAAAACAUUACAUCCUAUUGCUUCCUACCUUGGCCCUUAUCUUUUUCUCUCGGUUCUCUUUUUUUUGUAUCUUGAUAAAAGUAUAUUGAAUAUUCAAAUAUUAAUAAAUAAUUUCUCAUUCCAAUCCAUUUAUCACAUGGUUCAACUAUUUUGAUAAUCGAGACUUACCCAAAAAUUAAAUCUAAAUCAGCUCAAACUUAAACUUUUUUUCCAACAAAUACACCCGAUAUCAUUCAUAAGAUAGAACCGACCCACUAACCAAUAAUGGUAAAAGUGCUAGAAUCCUAUUUUUAAGGCUGUAUUUGGAUAAAAAAUUUGUUAAAAAAAUAAUAAUAAUCCACAUAUUACACUCAUAAUAAAUACCAACAACAUUUAUUAUAAUCUCAGUCCACAAGGUUUUGAUAUUACAUCAAAAAACAGCAACUCUUACACAAAUCACAUACAUAUUCAACACUAGAAACAACUGCACUCUUUUUUUUCUUUUUUUUUCUGGUCUGAUGGAAAUAAAAGCAAUAAACCGCCGGGAAUUAUUUUUUCUCCAAAAAUUCUCGGUAUACUUUCAACUACACGAAUCAACGAUAAUCACAAAACACCCGAAUAUCAAGAUACUAGUGCACCGCUGAGAGCACAUCGGAAACUUUUGGAGACAGAAAAUCCCGCACUUCUGGAAACAAUAUGACUGCAUCACUAGGUUCAAGGCCAUAUCAACACCCCAAACACUCCAAUGCCUGGAACAUAUAAACAACAUUAGUAAGCUCUAGAGCUCUUUUUUUUGGCUGUUUAAUGCUAUGGAUACACCUAAUUUGCACCCUAAAUAUCCAGUUGAUGAGAUGGUGCAUUUAAAUUAGCUAGAUAUUGGCUGAAAGGACUGGGUAGACCCCACACCCAGUCCAAAUGCACCACCUCAUCAUGGGUACCACCUCAUCAUGUGCACAUUUGAGAUGAAGUUGGUGUACUUUUAACAUUUCCUUUUUUUGGCUGACCUAGUUACCUUGUUCUAAUUUUCUGGACUGGUUGGACCCCACACCCAGUCAAUCCAAAUACACCACCUCACCAUGUAUACAUUUGAAGUGCAAGUUGAGUGCACCCAUAGCAUUUUCCUUUUUUGGCUGAGAAUCAGCUGUCCCAGUUACCUUAUUCUAAUUUUUUGUUCUAGUCCUAAAUGGAUGACACUUGUCCAUUGGAUUGAAUUAUCAAGAAUGUGAAAUUUACAGAUGUCAACCCAUUUAGGGCUGGGACAGAGCACUGCUCCAAAUAUUUUAGGACAACAGAUCCGGAAUCUAUUUUUCCUUAUUCAAUCAAAUUUCAUUUCUUUUCUAGUUCCUUUUGAUCAAAUUUUAGGAAAAAAAUACACUGAAAAUAAGAAAAUUCCAAUUUCCGCCAUAAUUUUUAUCUUUAUUGAAUUUAUUUUAAUGAAACCAAUUUUUUUACACUUUUAGAAAUCAUAAAAUUUUAUUCGAUAAGUUUAUAAAAAAAAAAAACUAAAUUUACCUUCACCAAAGUCGGGCCCACUCAGGACUUUUCCUCUAGGUAUUUCUUAAUAUUUGUUGCCAUGAUUUGGAGGUUGGUGUUGAAAUAAUCGGCCACAUGCUCAGGUGGUUUCCCUUCAAAUAGAUUAGAGACGUACGUCCACUCGAUCUGGCUCCCGAGCUUCUCAUCACCGUCGAUCGGGACUACUUUGAAACUUGACUUGCAAUACGUGAAGCCCACAUUAUUCUCCAGGACCUCGUAGUUGUAGCUGUAAGUGGUGGGGUCCAUGGCAAGCAACUUCUCGUGGAACCACAGGACCUUUGUCUCCCCGGUUUCUGUUGUCGUCGAGGAAGCGCAGAAGCGGAUCAGCCCAGGGUGUCCGUACACGCCCUCAAGCGCGUAGGAGAUGUCUGCGAGUGGGUCUAUCUUGUGGAGACCACCAAAGUCCUCUAAGAAAGGCCACACUUGUGCGCGUGUAAAGCCCUCGACCCUGGCAGUGACUGUGCCUGUACACGUGAUCGGUGUUGCAUCUUCCGCCAUGAGAGAGAGAGAGAGAGUUUUGAUGGAGGGGGGGAUUUGAGAACAACCGGUUAAGGCUUGGAAGACUAGCAAGGCAACCUUGUCCUAUAUAUAGGAUGCAAAUAGAAGGAUAAAUUACACUUUCCAGCCCUAUAGUUUUACUUAUGUAUCACUUUGAACUACUCGAUUAGGAUUGUGUCAAUUUCUUUCAUUCUUGUCAUGGACAGAUGUGCCUGUGAGCGUCAUUCCUUCUUUCUACAAUGAAAAACUGGUUUUAAUGGACGACAGCAAUAUGGGCUCACGUGAUUCAUGUUUCUAUAACGAAAAAGUGUUUGGUUUAAGUUUUAAAAUAAUGUUUUAAUUGUUUUUAUUUUCGAGUUAUGAAAAUUUUUAAUUAUUUAAUUAAAAAAUUAUAUUUUUAUAUGAAUUUGAGGAGAACAGUAAAAAAAUAAUAAAUCAUUUAAUUUGAUAAUAAAAUGCAAUAAAUACAAAAUCUGAAUGAAUUUUUUAUAUUAUUAAAUUCAUUUCAUCAAUAAAAAUUAAAAAAAAAUUUUGAUCAAAUGACAAAAAAAAUUAAUAUGCAGAAAAUAACUUGAAAAUAAAAGUAAUUAAAAACUUAUUUUAAAAAUUAAACCAAACAAAGUGUUGACACUGUAAUAAUAAUGACCCAGCUUCUUUGAAUUGAAUUAUUUGGAUUGCACUAUACAGUUCAAAUAUUUUAGUCUUUUUUUUUACCAUUCUGAUAAUCUAAAUAGUUUAUAUUGUAGAUUUCGUCGAAAAGAUCAAUACUGUAAAAAAAUUAUAUUGAUCAUAUGCAAAUCAAUACCCGUUAAAUAUUAUUUUGUAACUUAAUAAAUAGUUGUGGAACACAUGAUUAUACUCACUUAUAUUGAUAUAAAUUGGUAUCAAUCGAUUAUUGAUCUGUAUCAAAUAAACUUAAGUUUUAACAAUCUUAUAGUUCUGGAUAGAGUUUAUAAUUUUACGUUUUGAUUAUCAAAUAGCAGAAAACAAGUUCAAAUAUAUUAGGGAUGGCAAUUUGAACCGAAAAAUUGGGUCCCCGUGCCCAAACCUUCCAUAAUAGCCGGUUUGGAGUCUCAAUAAACGGGUUCGAGAUGGGUUAUGGGAGAAAAAAUAUAACCCAAAUCGGGUUUAGGAUGGGGACGGAUUUAGGUCAUGAAUACCCCAAACCUGCCAUGAUUAUGUGUAAAUAGUCAAAAUUAACCUUAUUUUUUUUAAUUAUACCAUAAUAUCCUUACUCUCUAUAUAUCUCAAUAAUGGGAUAUAACUUUGAUUCGGUGUAAAGUUGUAUUGCACCCAUUUGUUCUCACUAAGGUAAGUAGUUAUUAAGGAAUUUUAUCAUUAUUUUGAAGUGUUUAUAUAAAUUAUAAUUUUAUUUGUUUAUAUAAACUUAAACAGGAUGUGGCGGGAGGUUUAUUUAUAAAUAGAAAUGGAAUUUUUAAGUCUCAACCCGUUACAAAUUUGAGAUGGAAUAAGGAAGGUUUUUUUUAAUGGGGUGAGAUAGGGUUAGGACAAACUCGUACCAAAUCAAAACCGUUGCUAUCCCGAAAAAAUAUUGUAUGGUUCAAAAUUGAAUUUCAAAUAAAGCUGAUCCAAUAAUAUUAGGGUGGCCACAAUGCCACGACAACUAUCGUGGGAGCAAUGACUUCAAUUCCAAUGAAGCUUUUCCACUUUUUUGUUUUUUUUUUUUUAUAAAAGUAAAAAGUUGUAUAUUUUUUUUUGUUGUUAGAUAUAUAUUUUGGAAUAUUUUUUUUAAAUAGAAUAAUUAAUAUUUUAAUAUGGUACGAAUAGAAUAUAAAAAUUUAAAUUUAGAGACAUUAGUUUCAAUAUUAUCCCUAUUAUUUUUUACUUUUAAAUAUAAUUAUUCUAACUAUUUAUAAAUGGUUAUUUCGAAAAGAUACAAUUUUUAUACUUUGACUUUAUAAAAUGGAUAAUGUUCUUGAAAAAUUUCAAAAUAAAAAAAAAGGCGGAGGAGUACCAUUUUUCUUUGCUAUCAUUAUACCCUUUUUGAUUACUUUAAAAAAAAAUAAUAACUAUUAAAUUAAGUGUGCAUUAUACAUCCCAAAUAGAAGGUAUGUACUGAAACGUGUCUCCUUAGUUAAUGAACUCAUUAAGUCACAAAGUUUCUUUAGAUAUUGUGUCUAUUGGUCACAACACCGUGCUGCCCAUGAAAUACUAAAUUGGGUAUGCAUUAUGCAAGCAAAAUAGAAGGUAUGUACUGAAAUGUCUCUCCGUAGUUAAUGAACUCAUUAUUAAGUCACAAAUAACUCAUUAAGGCUCCGUUUGAUAAUGUUUAAAAAUUAAGUUUUUUUUAAAUUUGUUAUUAAAAAAAGUCAAAAUUUUGUAGAUUUUUUAUUUUUGUGACUUCAUUUUAGCUAAAACUAAAAAAAAAGUAAAAACGAAAGCAAAAAAGUCCAAUUCUGAUUGAUUUUUUAUUGUAUUUUAAAUAAAAAAUUUAAAAAAUUUAAAAAAAACUGAGCCAAACGGAGGCUAAGUCACAAAGUUUCUUGUAGAUGUUAUGUCUUUUAGGGGUGUCCAUGUCCGGAAUUGGUCCGGUUCCAUAAGAAUCCAGUAACCAAUCCAUGUUUAACGUUCUGAAAAAAUUGAGAAUCUAACCUAACCAUUACAAGUAUGACCAAACCAAAACCGAUCCGCCUUAUCGGUUCGGUUCCGUUCAUCCAAUUACCAUUUAAUUAAAAUAUUUUUAUAAAUCUAAAUUAUAAACAAAUUAUUUUGUUAAUUAAUCUCAUACCUUUAUAAUGCUUCACGUCCUGAACCAAAAUUAAUUAUAAAAUAGUUUAUAGAUUGACUCUUAAAUAAUAUUACCAUCAACCAACUCUAAUAUUGCAAUUAAUAACUCAUAAAGUUUUGAAUUCAUAUUAGAUAACAACAAAAAAGGAAUAAAUGAAAAAACUGAAAAGAAUUCUAAUAGAUACAAAAAAAAAUUACUGAUAAAUUUUGGAUAGAAAAGAAUAUAAAGGUUUUGAUGGAAAUGGAUAGAGUAUCCUAAUAUCCAUGGUAAAGUGAAAAUAUUUUUGUUGAGAGAAACGAAAGUAAUCCGUGUAAUGUGAAUAAUGUUUCUAGAUAAAUAUGUAUACACGUCUAUCUAUAUAUAUAUAUAUUACACAUAUAUAUAUAAUCGAUUUCGUUUCGCUUCGUUUCGAACCACUGUUUGAAAUAAAAACCGGUAACCGAACCAAAUUUACCGUUCUUAUUUUUAAAACCAGAACCUAACCAUUAAACCUAAACCUAUCCAAAAUACACGUUCGGUUCCGGUUCGUUUCCCGAUUUUCAAUUUUUUUGACACCCUAGUGUCUUUGGUGAAGAACAUCGUGUUGCCCAUGUAAUACGGGCUAACAUUAAUUACUUAUUGUACUUAUUCUUUUGGUACGAUUCAUUGAUUACCCACCGAUGGCAAAAAACAGAUUAAUUGAAUAUAAGUAGCUAUAUGAAUAGAUAUUUUUACAUUACAAUUUAUUUACAAAAUAAUAUUUUGAAAGUAAAAUACGUGAAACAAUUGAGACGUGGCUCAUAAGAGAAGAGAAAUGAUUCAAUUCCAGCUAUCCCACCAGUACUGGUAAACCAGUCAGUCAGGUCAGGUCAGUUUCUGCCGACACCAGCUUGUUAUAUAACCAGAAAUGCUACUUUUUUGAAAGUUUUACCGAAUUAUUAUCGAUUAAGCACCAAAACCGCACUAACAUUUUGGUGCAAAAAAAAUUCAAAACGACUCGUUCUCAACUAAAUGGAAAUUCUUACGAAAAAAAAUAAAAAAAGCCAUUUAGAAUACCCUAAAACGUCGUCGAUUGGUUAUAGGGUAACAUUCGGUGAGUGAAUAGUUUUGCGGUAUAUAAAACUUGCAUAGAAAAGUCAUAUAUAUAUAUAUACAGUAAUGCUCGGUCAUCGAAAUUUACAAAUUGUUACCGAUAACACCAAAAAGACGACCUUUUAGUACUUAAAAUGGCUUUAGUUUCUUUCCGGUAGAAUCCCUUAGUUGAACGAGUCGUUUGAUUUUUUUUGCACCAAAACGUCGCCAUUUAAGUGUUAUCGAUAACAAAUUCGAUUUAAAAACUUUCGAUAACAGAACAUUUUUGAUAUAUUAUAUAUAUACACGAAACACGUGAAACAUGGCACCAUAAAAAAUGAUCAAUCCAGCUCCCACUAAGUAUACUGGUAAUAACCAGUUAGUCAUUCCCAUUUUCUGAGACAGAUGCUUGUAUAUAAACUUGAAUAUACAUCAUAAUAGCAGAGAGAGAGAGAGGAGAGAGAGAGGGGGGUAUAUUUCGAGCAAGAAAAAGUUUACAGAAUUACUUCCUGUGUCCCAAAUUAAAUUUAUUAUUUUAUUUUAAAAUGUCUCAACAUAAACGUUUAAGUCAAAAAAUUAACAAAUAAAAUAUAUAUAUUUUUUAUUUUACUUUUUUUAUAUAUUAUUUAAAUAAUAUUCUAACAAAAACAAAAAGUCAAAUCAAAUAAUUAUAGAAUUUAUAGGAAUAAAAUAAAAAAAUUAAUAAAAAAUAAAAUAUCAUGAUUGUGUUCUCUUACAAAAUUGAGCUCUCCAAAAUGGGAAUUUAAUUUGGGACUGAGGGAAUUACAAAUAGGUAAAUAUAAACGGAUUCAGAAUUCUAAUUUUAAAAAAUGAAAAACUAUAUAUGGCUAGUUAAAGAAAUUAAUGAGUAUGUUUAAAUUAUACAAUUAGAUUGCUUCUAACAAAAAAAUGGUACAAAAGAAUCCACAAUUUCAUCAUAAAAACCAGACUAUAGUAAUGUGCUUUGACUGAUAUGUUUCAUCUUAUCUUUACCUAUUAAAGGGCAAGUACUAGGCACUAGGCAGUGACCCGUGACUCUACCAAUCCAAUAAAACUUGUUAAAUCAUGAUUUACAUCAUCACCCAUGAACCCGACAGGAUGGCAUUGGUGCGGGCUAUUCGGGUAAGAGUGGUGAUCAGAUGGGUACGCACCCGUGGUAAUAUCAUGGUAGCGCUCAUGUGGCAUCACCAUAGUCAUAUAAUUUUUCUCAAAUUAUGCCUUAUUUAUUUUUUAAACCAUUCAGUCACAAAAUGUGUGGCUAUGGUGAGGCCACGAGGAGUGCUCCCGUGGUAUUACAACGGGCGCGCGUUCAUCUAAUCACCACUCAUCAGGUAAUUUUUAUUUCUGUUAGGAGAUACGAGUUUGAUGUGGGUUUGGAUGGGUGGUGGUGGGAGAUGGAGAUUUAGAAUCCGCGUGGGUUUGGGGUGGUAGGGGAUUGGGUUUAAAGGCCUUUAGAACCCGAACUCGAUUAAAGUGUAGACUAAUAAAAUAUCAUAUUUUGUUAGUUUAGUAACGUACAAUGUUAAUUUUCGCCGUUAUUUAAAUUUAUUUUUAAGGUGUUGAUUUUUUUAUGUUAUUUUAUAGUUGGUUAUAUGUCCUUUUGUUAUUAUGCAUUUUAUUUUGUAUUUUUUUCAAUAACAACACUACUCUUCUAAAAUAUAAAAAUUGACAAAAGAAAAGAAAAAUCUUAGAUUAGGUUUGAAGAAGCAAUUUUAACUUAAAUUAAGCUUAUAGCAAAUACCUCUAAAUGUUCCACAUGAGAGUUUCAGAGGGUCAUUACUCUUAAUUUCUCCAUAAUUAGAUAUAAAAAAAUAAAAUAAAUAAUAUUUAAAUAAAUUAGAUAGGCUUGUCACUGGAUUAGCUAAAAUCCGAAUCCGAUUCGAGAAAUACGGAUCAACCAGAUUCGAAUUAUAAGAAUUUUCAGAAUGAAUUUUUUUUAAUGUAUUCGAAUUUAUUUUGAUCGGAUUCUGAUCGGAUCUGUAUUUCUCGUAUCGGAUAUCCAUUUAAAUCAAAUUCAAAUUCGGAUUAAACUAAAAGUAUUUAGAAAAUAUGGAUUCGAAUUUGUUUGUAAUCAGAUCGGAAUCGUAUUUUGAUUAAAACAAACGGGUUUAGCAAAUACGAAUUCAAAUUUAUUUGUAAUCAAAUCGGAUUCGAUUAAAGUAAACGGGUUUAGCAAAUGACGGAUUUGAAUUUGUUUGUAAUCGGAUCAAUUCGAGUAAUCACGGUUUGAUCCGAAUUCAAUUCAUUGACUGACAAAAUUAGAGCAAUGAAUUAAUUUUGUUAGAACAAUUGUACCAAGGUGAUCCUAAAAUGUACGAAAUUUACAUUUUUUAUACAAUAUAGAAGAAUUAAGUUGUUGGAGAUGCUCUCUUAUAGAGUUAAAAUAUCUUUCUUUCUUUUUUUGGCUAGGUGAUCGAUUGGUUCAUAUGCCAGUUUGGCAAGGACAACUCUCGUAUAAUUUUUUACCAUCUAGAAAAAAAGUACUUUAAAUAGAAAGAUCUAGAAAAAAAGUACUUUAACAAGGGCUUCUGUCAUGCACUUUAAUAAUGGAUUAGUAUUAUUAAAGACAUGCUUUAUUAAUGGAUUAGGAAUAUUACUAAAGAAGUUUAACAAUUGCAAAAGACAACCACAUCUAUGGGUGGUAACGAGGGACAUAUGUAGGAUUUUAAUUUAAUAGAAGACGUGUAUAUAUUAAAAAAAAAUCUUAAAACGAAUAACGAACUUAUAUAAUUUUAAAAUAUUUUGAACAAAUACUACUAUAAUAAUAAAAAAAAUUAAAAUUUUGAAUCAGCGGUCAUCUCCUGUCGCCCCGGGUUUGGUGAUACAAAAAAGGUGGUUUAUAUAAGUUUCAGCAAUCAAAGGGCAUGUGAAACAGGUGCGGAGUCAGGAGAGAAAUUUAGUGCUGUCAAAAUAAUAAAUUAUAAAAUAAUAGUAUAAUUUUUUUUAAUAAAAUCAAAAUAAUAUAUUUUUUUAAUAAAAUAAAAAUAUAAUUUUUUAUGUACUAAAUCAAUUGAUCCCACUUACCUUUAUCUCGUUCCGCCCAUGACAUGAAGCACGUCGUUGCUCAGCAAGAGAAUAUAAAUAGGACCGCCCCCGGGUCGGUCCUCGGUGGUACCAAAAAGGUGGCCCCAGGGCUUUUCCCUGUUUUGGCUAUCUAUUUUAUAUAUAUCAAGGGGCACGUGAAACACGUUGCUGAGCAAGCGACAAUGUAAUUAGGACAGGUAGCAGGGAUGAAGAUUCGCCCAAACACGAUGAAUGGGUCCGAUCAAAUUGGCUGUUUGCGUAUAUAUUUUAUUCGACUUUUUGUAUAAUUAAUGUAGAUAAAAUACCUGGUUGAGUAUAGGUUGAUAUCUAUAUAACGAACCCUAUAUAUAUAUAUAUAUAUAUAUAUUUAAGAAGUAUUAGGAUGGUGAAGAGUGUUAUGUAUAAAUUUGGUUGAAUUUAUAUUUUUGUUUAAUGGAAUACGUGAUGUUUUAUGUUAAAAAAUUGAAUCUUAGGUAAAAAUUCACGUUACCUUUCACUAUUCAGAUCAACCACACACAUAAGAUAAUAAAAAUUUACGUGGUUCGGCAAAUAAUAUUUAAAUCCAUGGAGAACAAUCAAUAAUUCACUAAUCAAUCGAACGAACGAUCGAAGAGGAUUACAAUGAGUAUAAAGGGAAGAAUAGUCGCACUCCACUCACCUCUCCUUGAUUCUCUCUCUAUCUAAUAAUUUUGAUCUGUCUAGCUUCUCUCUUAGCACAAGCACAAAUAUUUCAAUACCCUUAUCCGGUCUUUUAUGGAUCAAGAGAAUAAGGUGUCCAUUCCAUUGGUCCCAUGUUUACGGUUUUGCAAAUAAGUUUUUUACAUAACAAUUUAAGUUGAUCAGAUAAUGAAAAUUAUUUACUUGUUCGGAUUCAUUUUGUAUGAAGAAAGUGAAAGGUUAUAUUUAAAAUAUAAAUGUCUAUCUUUUUAUACAAAACAAAUUCAAAUACGUAGUUACCGUUAUCCGAUUAAUUUAAUUUUUUAUAUAAAUAAUAUACUUUGUGAAUUUUAAAAUAUAAACAAUGCGAAUCAUUGAAGUGUGUUUAAAUAUAUGUCCAAUAGGCUUGACUAGACAGUCCAAACGAGGGAGUAGAGAGGAGCCGUUCCAAAUGUAAAUCCAUACAUACAACGAAAAAAAUGAUUAAUAAAUGUUUUAGUUCAUUUAUGCAGAGAACGACAACGUACUUAUAUCUAUCUAUGGUCUAUAUAGUUGAUAAUUCAACUACUAUUUAAUAAUAAAUUUCACUAGGAAAUUUAUUUCUACACUCCAUUUGAUCUCUAAACUCCAAAAUAGGAGUGUAGAAAUCAAUACAUAAAUGAUAUUGAUUUCUACACUCUAUUUUGGAGUUGUAGAUAUCAUUUUUGAAGUUGUAGAAAUCUUCCCCAUUUCACUAUUAUAUAUUUAAUCCCGAGCAUGAACGUUCAGCUUACGAUUAUUUCCGUUCCUUUUACAAUUAUAUAUAUAUGUAUAUAUAUAUAUUUAAAAUUUUGUAAUUAUUUUUACGGUUGCAGAAUUUUUUGUGUACUAACAUGCCGUAGAUCAGGAGUUAUAUUUGGAUCAACUGGGUUCCUAGGUGGAUGUAGCAAGGGCUUGACCUCACUGGAAAAAAAAAAUAUUUUUAUCUUUUUAAUAUUUAUAAUAAAUACAAUUGUGAUCAUAAAUUUUGACCCUACUGAAAUUUAUAAUUUUGAUUUCACUGACAUUUUGACCCCACUGACAUUUCUGUCUGGCUCCGCCCCUAAUUUCUAGCUAGAGAGAAAAAAAUAAAUAAUUUUAUAUGAUUCAUUUUUUGGCAAGAUGCACAAUUUUUGGCGGGGUAAUAGCAUGUCAUGGAUUUUGUUCACAUGGGCUCUUAGAGGAGAGAUAAUUGAUUUUUAAUACUGCUACGCUUUUAGAAUUUGAAUUAAAAAAUUAUUAAAAUUUAAAAUUAAUAGUUUAAAUCUUCUUAAUGAUUUUAUAUUAUUCAUUUUUGUCGUUACGUAAUUUUGGGUGGUAUAGAAAGAUGGCGGAGAUCAGGGAGUUGGGUUCCUAGAGAGAGAAAAUUUGAUUUUAUAUUAUUCAUAUUUAUGGUAACAACAUGGCGGUGAUGAGGGAGUUUAUAUUGUUCAUUUUUGUGGAUUAAGAGGUUGGGGGACUGUAGUGUCAUCAAAUCGCUAGGACUACUUAGCGCACUUUCAAGUCUCGCCUCAGGUUCAUUUUUAUUACACAAAUUGUUAAUUUAAAAGGACAUGUUAAACAGAUUCAACGAAUAUUAAUAGUUACAUGACUCAAAAGAGGGCACUACGGAGGCUUCGAAUUUAAGAUGGAGGGAGAUUAGAGAUGAAGGAUACAUGGAGACGGUAGAAAAGUGCAUCAAGGAAAGCGGUGGUGAUUCAAAGCAUAUAUUGAUAUAUAUGAGGUAGUUUUUUUUGCCAUUUAAGUAUUAUUGCGUGUAUAAAUUAUUUAUUUUAAUCGUGAUAUAAAGCAAGUGGAUUAAAUUGUCUUGCAUGACUAACAGAUGGUCAGAGAAUUCUUGGAAGGGACGGGGGUGUAUGAAGGAAGGAUUUUCAAGUUAAUAAGCUGAAGAGUUGGAGGGAUAGUGUUGAAAGAAGUCCGAUCGGUCGGGAAUAUGCUGAACCGGUCGGAGGAGCAAUAGAUUGUUGGAAGAUAAUCCAACCAGUCCAACCUUGCUCAACCGAUCGAGGACUAAGCAGAAGCUAGACCACGCCCGGUCCAGCAAAUCCUGAACUGGUUGAAGGACGAACAAAAGGUUUAAGAUAUUUCAAUCGGUCCAACACAGGAGUUCAACCGGUCGAGGGACAAGCAGAGCAUCAACCACCUUAAGCCCGACCGGUCGGACAAACUUUGGACCGGUUGGGGCCUGGAACAAAACACAUAACUUAAAGUCAAUACAUAAGUCCAAUCGGUCGGACAAAUCUUGGACAAGUCGGGGAGCUCAGCACACGUCAAAUCUCAGCGCUAUGGUCUUUCUGAUAGAAGUUAGAACAUUAUUUGUAAAACUUAGUCGUUGUGGACUCGUGUAUGUCAUGUUGUUGCCGUCUAUAAUCGUUAUGUGCCAUGGCCUACUUGAUUGAAGAAGAAGACAAAUUGUCAGUGAUAAGGAAUAAAAUGAAUUAAUGUCUCGGAUGAUGAAAAGGAUUUUCAAUAUCCGAAUAGACUUCAAAUUCGACCCAAAGUGAUUAAAAUAGCAUACAAACCAAAGUAAAACGGUGUGAAUCGUCAAAUUAGUGACGAUUGUGUUGGAAACACAUAAUUAUUAAUCAAAAAGUUUAUAACUAUAUGGAAUUAUAAAAAUGAAAUUUGAUAUAUCAAUUCCAAAAAUUAAAAAUUUUAUUUUGAUUUUUCUCAUUUUUGAAAUAAUUAAAUUUUAUUUUUGAAAUUUAUUUUUGUUUUUUAAAAUUUAUUUUAUUUUUUUCUAAUUUUUUAUUUGUAAUUCAUAAUUUUAUUUUAAAUUUUCUCCAAAUUUUUUCUUAUUAUGGCAUUUGAAAAUUCAAUUUCUUUAAUAAAAAUAUAUAUAUUUUUAUUAUUUAUUUAUUUAUGGCCAUAGCCCAUUCGCUACCAACCAUGUCUUAGGGGCAUGACUUGGUUACCGCCAAACUCACUGACACAACAGUUAGUACGUUCCAGCAGCUCGGACUGCAAUCUGUCCAGUGACAUUGACAAUUGACACAUUCAGACACACAUCAAUCUCUAUUAUAAAAACAAGUGUCUUUUCACUCUUAAAGAAUGCAAUGUCAGAUACCCAAAGCUUUAAACACUUUCUCUAUUUUAUACACUUUCGGUCACUUCUUAAUCGUCAGAGUGUAGUUCCUGGAACAGCCCCUACGGCCAUUCUCAUUGUCAUUAUUUUGCAGUUUAGUUUGGCAAGCCUAGACUACCGUCAACAACUGUUCAGCCAUCGCAAUUGUUUAUUUUCGAUAUCCUUUCUUCCAUUCUAAUAUUCAUAUCCCCACAUAUUCUAUUUCCUUAUCCUUAAUCCCUACUAAUUAGUAUUAUAUAUAUAUAUACACACACAUAAUAUUAACCAUCCUAACCUUUAAUACAUGAUUGAGGUUCCUUUUCUUCGUCUUCUUUUUUUAUUUGUUGCCUUCUUUUUCAGAGAUUUUAAUGCCUAUUAAUUGAGUCAUUGGUAACAAAAAUUCGCGUUUCAAUUGUUCUACUUUCUGUUGAUACAAUUGUGAGAAUAAAGGUAAACUAUGUAAAAAAAAAUUUAUUUGUUUUUUCUUUUUAUAAAAGUUUAUUUGUAUUUAAUGAGUUACCAAAAGUGUAUAAGAUUUUCAGGUAUAUUUUAAAUCAUAGGAUGUCCAAUUAAAAUUUUAAAGUGGAAAAUACUAUCUACAAUGUUUGGUCCCAAGAACCCAUUUUUUUAACUAUGUAAUUUUCGUGUUUUUUUAUUUUUAGUGAUUUUUUUUUGUAGUUCAAUAAAAAAAUUAUACUUUUUUUUAUUCUCUUUACGAGAGAAAUUCAAGAAUAAAAAAUUAAUUAAUUAAUUUUACAAAAAAAUCACUAAAAAUAAAAAAACUAUUUUUAUCCCAUAAAAACUAUCUAAAAGUGGGUUAUUUUCGUCUGUAGUGAUUUUUUUAAAUUAAAUAUUUUUUUAAUAUAUUUUUGGACUCCUUUUUCGUCAAAAGAAAUCGGUAAGGUAUAAAUUUUUAAUCAAAUGAUAAAAAUGUUCACUGAAUACCCAAAAACUCAAAAUCAAAACAGAUAAAAAUUUAAAAAAAACUUAUCCCAGACAGACAUAAUAAUUUUCUGGCCUUAGAUAAAUCCAGUGAUAUUUUUUUAUUAGUUUAUUAAAGGAGGACAACACACGUGGAAACACCACACCUUUAAACAUUUAGUAUUUGUAUUAUAUAUGCUAAGCCAAAAACCCGUGGGAUAGUUUUUGAUUGUUUUGUUUGGUUACAAGGAAACUUCUGUUUGAAUAAGAACACAUAAACGGUGGAUAAGUGUGAAAAUCAGACCCUAUCUCAAGUGGUUGUACCCAGCUCCAAGGGAGUGGUUCUGUUUGGAUUUGAGUUAUGGAGAAUAUAUUAUUGUUAGGUUCUGUUUGAGAUAACUUAUUUUUAAUUUAUGUAACUGUUUAGGUUUUUUUUUUGAGUUUUUUAAUAAAUUUUUUUAUCGUUAUAUUGAAAAUUUAUACACAUUGGCUUUCUUUUGAUUAAGAAAGUCUAAAAAUAUAAAAAAAAUCUAUUUUUAAAAAAAUGAAUGAAGGUAUAAAUAAACCAUUCUUCCUUUUAAAACUAAAUAAAAAUAUUUGAUACCAUCCUCCUCUCUCUUACACACACACACACAACCCUCCUCGCAAGCUGAUUACAACGCAAACCCACAAAAGCGAUUUUAAUAUGGUAUAAAAGCAAUUUAAAGUCGACUCACAUUUUUUAUAUCAAAAAAACCCAGCUAUUUCGUGGUUAUAAUAAUUAUUAAAAAAAUUUAAAAAUAAAAAAUAAAAUUAAUUCAUUUCAAUAUCAAUUACAUACAAUCAUGUGAACAGCACCGCUAAUAUAUAUAUAUAUAUAUUAUAUAUAUAUAUAUAAUAUAUAAAGGGGGUACAGAGGCCAGAUAGCAGGGAGGAUGUGAGGGAAAGGGUACGUUGAAUUAUAUAAACAAGGGAAGAAAAAAAAUCACUUUAACAAACCUUUUGUCAUGCAGUCGAAAUGCCCCUAAUAAUGCACUAAUGGUUUAGCAUUAUUAAAGACGAGAGACUAUAAUAAUUCACUAAAUACAAACACCGAUAAGGCUGGUACCGAAAAAGGUCGCCACAUGGCCCACAUAUAAUAAUUCAUUAACGACAAUCACGGUAUAUUGCAGAUUUAGGCUCCGUUUGACAUCAGUUUUUUUUAGUUUUUUUUUUGAUUUUUUUUGCUUAUUUAAGCAAAAAGCAAUCAGAGUUGACUUUUUUAUUUUUAUUUUUAUUUUUUUGACUUAGUUUUAGCUAAACCAAAACCACAAAAGCAAAAAAGCAAAAAAAAUUUAACCUUUUUAAUAGCAAAUUUAAAAAAAAAUUAUCUUUUAAGCAUUACCAAACGGAUAGUUAGUUUGUUUGUUUCUUAAAAAACGAAAGAACGAAAGAAUGUUGUCUGGGCCCAUCCUUUUCUUUCAUAAUAUUAAGGAAGUAGGCCCAAAUCCCUAUCCUUUUCUUCUAUGCAAACGAAGUCACAAACUUGUGAUUAAUUCCAAUGCAAGAAGUAAGGAAUGAUUGGUGGAGAGGAAUCCAAGUUUGAGUUUAACUAUAUUUCUAAAAUGUUAUCAGACUUAUCUGCAGUUCAUUUCUGGAAUGCAUCGUUACAGUGUAAGAAUUUUGAGCUUUAUUUGGGGUCAAUUUUGAUUAUUAAAUUAUUCAUAUCGCAGACCUUUUAAAAAACUUUAAUAAUGAUAAAAAUUAUAUUGAUUAAUUUAAUUUAUAUUAAGAUAAAUAAAUAUAAUUAUAUAUAUUAUACUCAUUUAUUACUUCUCUUGAAUAAAUAAAGGUUCCUUGACUAAAUUCAACAAUUAAUUUAGGUUAACUACAUUUAACUCUAUUAAACUAUUGCUCAUUGUAACUUAACCCUCUAAAUUGAGAAUCUAAUCAACUUGUUCCCUUAAACUAUUGAAAGUUGCCACUUUAGUACUUCCAUUAACCAUCAGUUAAAUAUAAAAUAUUAAAUUUUUAUAUGAGCAGCUAAUAGGCAUUAAAACAAAACAAAAUUCCUAAAAUAAUUUUUGCAAUUAACCCUUUUUAAAAUAAAAAUUACCCCAAUAUUACUAUAUACAAAGGCUAUAUUUUCUAUUUUAUUGCCCUUCUGUAGGAAGCAAUAUUUUGGUAUUUUGGUCCUAAAAAGGAUAAUUACAAAAAAUAGACUACUUUAGGAAUUUUAUUUUGUUUUCAUGCCACAUGAUGCCCACAUGGUAAUUUAAUAUUUUAGGUUAAUAGAUGCUUAAGGGAAAGGACUAAAUUGGUAACUUUUAAUAGUUAAGGGGGGCUCUAGUUGGGCUUGGUUUUCUGUUUAGGGGUUUACAAGGUAUUGAACAGUGGUUCAGGGGCAAAAGCAGCUAACCCAUUAAUUUAAGCAAUUUUAAAAACAAUUGUCGAUUAACUGAGCCACAAAAAACCAAAACAAACAAAAACAAACCAUAAGUAGCAUGUGGACCCAAAACAUAAUUACACCUUUCCUUCCCAUUCUAUUAUUUUAUUUGGAACUUUUUGAAAGUAUAUUCACUUUUAAAUUUCAACAAAUAAAAAUAUACAAUUUUUUAUUUUCAUUUACGUUUAUAUAAUCUUUCAUAUAAAAAAAUAUUUAAAAAGCAAUUAUCAUAGAAGUAAAACUAAAACUUCAAUGUAAAUCAAAUAUAAUAAUUAUAUUUUCUUAAAAAAAUAUUUUUUUAAAAAAAAUGGACUGGCACGUUGGGGGAGCAGCAGACUUUACGAAGGGUUUCAUGACUCUUAAUGGCACGUAGCACCUAAGCAACUAUGUGACCGACUCGGAAAGCCAUUAAUGUGAUCCGAAUUAUUCAAUUUGUGAGGCUUGAUAAGAAAGUUAUUCUUGUAAAAACUAAAAUUGAUCGAGUAUUAGUAGUCACAUGAUUGAUCCUAAAACUUUACAUGAUUCAAUCAUGAGGUUAGGAACCAAUAUCCAUUUUUUCAAGGAUAAUCUUCUAUCUAUCAAAUCCCCGGUUUGACUUACAUAAGUGAUCAGCUGGAGGACAUAAAACAUAAAAAAUAGUACAUUUUACUGUUUAACCCAAUUACUUUAAAGUUAAAGCACUAUUAAAAUUUGCUAUAAGAGCACUAAAUAAUUCCUGAAACAGCCGAGCUGGAAUGGGCCCAAUAAAAGCACUUGUGUUGUGCUUUAAUGAUUCCUGUAAACUUUUAGGCCAUGUUUGAUAAACGAGAUAGGAGGGAGGAUUGGAUAGAGUCCAGUGAGCUCUCUAGUCCAGUGUUGGUUUCGAAGGGAUGGUCGGACUAAUAGUCCAGGUGUUGUUUUUUUUUUUUGGACUAUGAAUCCUCCCAAUUGUAGGAUUGUAAUCCCAUGGAGGUUGGGAGGGGAAUUGGGAGGAUUAACAAUCCUCCGAUCCUAGGGCCUCAAAUGACAUUUUUAUCCUUCCUUGAUAUUGUAUAUAUUUGUGUAAUUAAACGGUAAAUAUGAAAUUUCUAGAAAAUUCUAUGAUUUUUUGGAACACUAUUGCCCACAUUACCCUUGAUAUUUACUAAUCCCACUGUCUAAUCCCGUUGCCAAACCAAACACCUCGUCGAGACUAGUGCCCUCAUUACUCAUUCCUAUAAUUAUCAAUCACAUAAUAAUCCCACCUCAUUAUUAAUUCUCCAAUUCGACACACUAUCAAACAUGGCCUUUAAGUCACGUAAACUUAAUCUCAAAUUAGUAAGCGCAUGGCAUUCCAUCCGUUAAUGGAAAGUGAAGUUAACAGGUGGGAGACAUUUCACGCGACGGGGUUAAUUUGUAUGGUCUUUGUAAGGUUAAUUAAAUAGGUUCUCAAGUUUAUGGGUUAUCAUGUAAUAUAUUCUAAUUUAUAAUAUAAAUUUGACCCAUAUCACAAUUAUUGAUAUAUGGCCGAUAAUAAUUCCAUUAAUCUCAAUAAAUUAAUAUAUAUAUAUAUGAUAGAGUUCUUUUUCUUUUAGAUUUUGUAAGGCAUAAAAUACCAACUACUACUCUGACCGAGUUAGGGCAAAGACUGUUGCUGGAUUGUCGCUCUAUGAUAAGUUUGGCGGGGUCUUUGCACCGGAUUUAGGUCAAGGCGCAAUGGUCUGCUAGAUACCAAUGGCAUUUUAGGGGCAAAUGAUAACUUGUGCGGCGCUUGCCCCUGACACCUCCCACGCAUGGAUCUUGAUGCCGGCGACAUAAUGAACUAGCUACCAACUGCACCUUAAGAGUAUGGCUUGGUCACCGCCUAUUUACUGACACAGUAGUCCGUGCGUCUUAGAAAUCGAUGCAGUUGGUCAUUCUAGCUAGUGCCAGGCAGUUCGCGCGUCGAGGCAUUCACUGAAUGUUCCCCGUACCCGCCCCUUUGUUCUAUAAAAGGCAAUCGUCUUUUCACUCUUAAGAUAUGGCAGUGCAGUUACCCAAAAUUAAACUAUCUCUAUCUUAUAUACUUAUAUAUUUUGAUCACUUACUUGACCAUCAAAAUGUCUUUAUCGGAAUAGUCUCAGCGACCAUUCUCAUUGUUCUUGUUUUGUAGUUCGAUCCGACAGACCUAGGCUACCGUUAAUCACUGUUCAACCACCAUAGGCGUAUAUCUUUUAUUUUUUGUUUAUCUUUGAUUUUCUUUCUUCCAUUCUAAUAUCUACAUUCCCACAUAUUCUAUUGCCUUAUCCUUAAUCCCUACUAAUUAGUAUUAUAUAUAUAUAUAUAUAUAUAUAUACAAGAUAUUCAUGAUAGAGGUUCCUUUUCUUUUUCUUUUUUUGGAUUUUAUUGCCUUCUUUUUGAAAUAUUUUAACGUCUAUUAAUUGGUUCAUUGGUAACAAAAUUUCAAGUUUCAAUCGUUUUAUUUUCUGUUGAUACACUUGCGAGAAUAAAGGUAAACUGUGAUCAUUAAAGUUACAUUUUCUAUGAGUACGAAGGGGGCUUUUGAUUAUUAAUUGUUGUCAGAUUCAUGAAUCUAGUUAGAAUUGCUUCGACUUCACAUCGUUUUUGGAAAAUGCUAUGGGUACCCCAUUUUGGGUACCCCAAAUGUACAUCAAUGAGAGAGAUAGACACAAGAGAAAUGGGCUCCACACACCCCAAGUCUGUGGACCCAACCCCAAGUGUGUGGGGCCCACUUUUCUUGUGUCUAUCUCUCUUAUUGGUAUGCAUUUGGGGUACCCAAAAUGAGGUACUCAUAGCACUAUCCUAUCGUUUUUAGGGCUAGAAAAUAUGAGUUUUUUAUGAUUCAUUUGUGUUGAAUUUGAGAUGGUUUGAAAGUCGCCCAUUGUACAUAAAUUUACAAAUAAUUAAAUUAUCAUAAUUGAAUUUCUGAUCACAUUGGAUGAUCAUUUUUUUUCUUUUUUUUUUGAAAUGUAAUCAAACUUUGCUUUUGAUAAAAUAAGUGAAACAGCGUGUUCGCAAUGAUAAAUUUAUUUUGAUUUUUUUAAUUUUUUUUUCAUAUUUUAAGUAAUAUAAUAUGUUCAUACAUAGCUUAUGAUAAAUUUAUCAUAAACCAGUUACUGGUUUGGUUAUGAUAAUUUUAUCAUAAUGAAUUAUUUUAAACAAGCCACUCAUUUACCUAUGAUAAAUAUAUCAUAAUAAAUUUAUCAUAAGCGUAGUAUAAAAAAUUCAAACUGAAAUUGGUAUAACUCGUACAAAACUUAUGACAAAAUUGUCAUUGUAACUACAUUGUUACGAAACUAUAAAUUUAUUUGAUAUAUUUUUUAUUUUAAUACUCGGGAGGAGAUCAUAACCAUAUUGGUUGUAAUCUCAAUAUAAAUACUAAUGAAAAGUGAUUAAUAUGGCAAUAUUUUGAGAUUAUAUUCAUAAGCUUUUGAUUAGAAUAUUCUGAUAAAAUUGAGAUAAAUUCUAGGAUUAAAUAGAUUUUAAGAAAAUCAUGUUUAAUUUAGUUUGUUUUUUCUUUUUAUAAAACUUUGUUUGUAUUUAAUGAGUUAUCAAAAAUGUAUAAGGUGUUUCAGGUAUAUUUUGAAUCAUAGGAUAUCUUAUUAAAAUUUUAAAGUGGAAUACUAUCUAAAAAAUGUUUGGACCAAGUGUGAAAAUCAGAUCCCAUCUCAGGUGGUUGUACUCAGCUUUAAGGGAGUGGUUCUGUUUGGAUUUGAGUUAUGGAGAAUAUGAUGAAUAUCGUAUUAUUAGGUUCUGUUUGGGAUAACUUAUUUUUGAUUUAUGUAAUUAUUUUGUUUUUUUAGUUUUUUAAUGAUUUUUUAUCAUUAUAUUGAAAUAUUAUACAUUUUCGCUUCAUCUUGACUAGGAAAGUUUGAAAAUAUAAAAAAAAUUAUUUAAUUCAAAAAAAAUUAACCAAAAAUAUAAAUAAACCAUUUUUCAUUUAAAAUACUAAGUAAAAAUAUUGGAGCCACCCACCCUCUCUCGGUCACCUCCUCACAAGCCCAUUCCAGCACAAACCCACAAAGCCGAUUCCAAAAAUACGCGUCCAUACUAUUAUAAAAAGAAACACUCUAGUUUGGUAUAAAAAUAAUUUAAAGUCGACUCAUAUUUUUUAUAUCAAAAAUACCCAUCUAUUUCGUGGUUACAAUAAUUUCUAAAAAAAUUAAAAAAAUAAAUUAAGAAAAUUAAUUUUUAUACUCUAAAAUUUGAUUUAUGCACUCUAAAUAGGAGUGCAGAAAUCAAUAUCAUAUUGAUGUUGAUUUUUGCACUCUUAUUUUUAUAAAAUUUGGAAUGCAAAAAUUAAAUUUUAAAGUGCAAAAAUUCAUUUUCCAAAUUAAUUCAUUUUAAUAAUCAAUUUUACACACAAAUCGUGUGGACACUAACCGCUAAUAUACACACGUAUAUACAAGGGAGGUACAGAGGCCAAAUAGCAGGACGAGGUGAGGAAAAGUGUACAUUGAGGUUCCGUUUGGUAAUAUUUAAAAGUCAAGUUUUUUUUUAAACUUGUUAUUAAAAAGGCCAAGAAUUUUUGAUUCUUUUGCUUUUGUAGCUUUACUUUAACUAAAACUAAGUAAAAAAAUUAAAAUAGAAAAGCAAAAAAGUCAACUCUGAUUGACUUUUUUACUUAUUUUAAACCAAAAAGUCAAAAAAAAGCUAAAAAAUUAAAAAAAAAGUUGAUGCCAAACGGAGCCUGAAUUAUAUAAACAAGGGAGGGAAAAAAAUUCACUUUAACCAACCUUUUGUCAUGCAGUAGAAAUGCUCUAAUAAUGCACUGAAAGACAAACACGUAUAAGGGUAGUACCGACAAAGGUGCAUGGCCCAAAUGGCUUCUUGUUUUUAUGGCCUUUUAUUUAACUAUUUUGCUGUCGACCGUCCAAGGAGCAGCGACUGAUAGAUUCGUUUCACAUAUAUUUAUGAAUUUUUCAUAAGCUUUAAUGCUUUUUCAUUAAUAUUUAUAGAUUUUUCAUAUUCAAUGUUAAAAAAUUAUGGUGUGAAUGAAAAUUAAAAAGGCUAUCGUUUUUAGCUCUUAGUGAAAAGAGUUUACAGCCUUAAUAGCUGCCUUAUUUGGAGCCAUAAGUUAUGAUAGCAGUAAUAUCACUCUCAUGAUGGGAGUUUAUGAUUAGAAGUUACAGGGAUCGAAGAGUCAUUGCUUCUCCUAUAAAUAGUUAAAUUUUUAGAGAGAAAAAUGCAGCAAUAUAAAGCAUAAAAAAGUAGUUUUUGAGUUUAGAGUGAGAGGCAGACAAAGUGAAAGUUCGCUAAGGCUGCUACGAUGGUGUUCCUGUAGUUCGAAGUUCAACCGUUUUAUCUUUGGAAGAAGACGUUGACGUGGACUGCACCCUCGGUAGGUAGUGAAUUUUUUCAAGGAAACUACAAUUGCAGGACUCAGCUCUAUUUGCAAUUCCUUCAUUUCAAUUUUUGCAAUUUCGUUACUGUUUUUACGUUUCUGUAAUUGUUCAAUCAAUUGAACAAUUUCUUCAACCGGUUGAAGAUUGUAUUUCUAAAUUACUGAGUUUUAAUGAAAUUAUUUUUUGAAAUUUUAUUUGUUGCCGAAUCAAUUUUUACCAAUACUUAGGCUCCGUUUGGUAUCAGUUUUUUUGAUUGUUUUUUUUAAGCUUAUAAACAAAAAAGCCAGCCAGAAUUGAGUUUUUUGCUUUUAUUUUUUAUUUAUUUUAUUUAUUUUUAGUUAAAGUAAAGUCAGAAAAGUAAAAAAAUAAAAAAAUCUUAACUUUUUUGAUAAUAAACUUAAAAAAAGCUUAAUUUUUAUGCAUUAUCAAACAUAAUCUUAAUAAUAAUAUUUUUUAUUUAUUAACAACCGCUCGCAUUUCCUUUAUUUAAUAGUAAUAUAUUCUAUUUAAUUAUAUAUAUAAGUACGGAGUAACAGUUAUCAAGCGGCACGUGAAGCAUGCAAGUUGGUAAGCACAGAACAAAAAGGGCUCCUGUAGGCCGUUGGUGCGCAAGAGAUAAUACAAGCAAAGAAGAUUAAUAAACAUUUAACUGUUUGAUUCUCAAGUGUUUUCGAUUUUAGUGAAUUUUUAAAUAAUUUGAUUUAAAUUUUAUGUUUUUUAUUUCUUUUGACGAUAAAACUCUGAAAAUAUCUUUAAAAAAAUCUAAGUUAGUAGAACGUGCAAUAAGAAAACCUUAUUUUACUCGAUAAGUUAGCUAAAUAUUUUGCAUAUAGUAGAUUUUCUUUAUAAAUAUAACAAAAUUUUUGUAUUUUCAGAUUUGUUCUCAUCAAGAGGAAUCAAAAAGUUACAAAAUUUAUAACUAAACAAUCAAAAAUCAUUAGAGAAACAAUAACUCGAAAAACCAAAUCAACUAAAAAAAUCUUUUUAAAAGAUAAAUUAACCUAAAAAAUCAUUGGGUAUUUUUUCUUGUGUUAUAUAUCUAUAAUAUAAAUCACAGCUACGUUUGAAUUAAAAAUCUAUCUCUUAUUAUCUACGGUUCAAAUCAAUUUUAGUUAAUCUAACGGUUCAAAUUUUACCUUAAAUUAUUUUUUUUUGCUUAAAAAUAUCAUUUUCACUCUCUCUCCUCCCAUCAUUUUCACUUUCUCUCUCCAUCAUAACUCUGACUCUCUCUUCUCCCAUCACUUUCAUAUUCAACCAUUUUAUUCUUUUUUAAUACCCCUUUAUUUUUUUACUUUUACACUUUCGAUUUUUUAUAUAAAAAAAUAUUAAAUUUUGAUCCAUCUUUUUUCUUUUAUAAAAACAUAACAUGUAGUAAAAAGAAUUAUAAAUUUUUAUUAUAAUUUUUUAUAUAAAAUUCGGAAAAGUGCAAGUAAAAAAAAAAUCAAUGAAUUAUUAAAAAGAAAACUAAUAGGGGUUUAUAAAAUUUAUCAUAAUUUUUUUUUAAUAUAAAAAUCCAGAAGUGAAAGUAAAAAUAAUAAAUCAAGGGUGUUUAAAAAAAGACUAAAGGUGUAUUAAAACAAAGGGUGAAUGGUAAAAUUGUAAUUUUGAAAACUAAAUUGAGGUAAAAGUUAAAAGUCAAAAAAAAAAGUUCAUAUCGAUGGGGUGGGUUGUCAUGGGGUAGAAAAACAGUUCUUUUCUGUUAGUUUUUAGAUAGAUUAGUUAGUUAAAUUAGUUAAUUUUGUUGAGAAAAGUAACUGAGAGUUAACCUUAUUGUGAUUAUUUUUUUUUUUUUAUUUGGUCUUCUUAGGAUGAAGAAUUUCAAAUCGUGAGAAUAAAUUUUUAUUCUAUUUUUUAUGUAUGGCCCGUGCCCCCCGUGGCACAGUAUGCUCCCCUCGUCGUCUUAUACCUCGUCCAGGCAAUUACUAGUAAUAUAUCUGGGAAUGAAUUUUUUUGCACCUCCCUUUUUGAUUCUACCUCCCAAAUAGGAGUGCAAAAUUAAUACCUCUCCCUUUUUGAUUUCUGCACUCCAAAAUAGGUGCAGAAAUCAACACCAUUGCAAAAAAUCCAUUUAUAUAUAUAUAUUAUAUAUAUUAUAUAUAUAUAGAUAUAUAACAUAUUCUUAUUUUAUACCAUUGUAUGUCAUUAUAUUUAAGUGCCGAAUUAUACUAUUUUUUAUUCUACCUUAUGUGUAAAUUAUUGGGCAAGCUUCCGUUAUGCUUGAAUUUGAGUGCGUUAGCAUGGGCACAACUUAUUAUGACGCAGGCAUGACACAAUUAUAAUGAGACACGGCUUGAUACAGACACGAUGGUUGAGCCACGCCAAACCUCUGCAAACAGUGGCACGAUACGGAUACAAUACAUUCAUAUCGUUUAUAUACAAUUAGUUUAAAAUCUAAAACUUUUGUUUCAUUCACCCACUACAAAAGUAUGAAAACAUUGUCCUCACGAGUAAUUGAUUAAAAUAGUAGAGAAUAAACAUUAAGGCUUAUAAGUGAUUAACCUCGCUUCUUUUGGUGGUUUGCUGUGAGUCUGGGCCAAUUGAAUUUUUAAUUAUUUUAUGGCCUGUUUUUGGACUUGACCCAAAGCAUUUGUUUUCUCGGCCCAAACCAUUAUGAAGCCCAUGGUGUUAAAUAAUCAUCUAUUAAUACGUUAAUUAUGUACUUUCUAGUUUAUAGAGUUUGAUAAUCAUGUAUUGUUGUUUAUAAGGUUUGACAUAUGCAAAUGAUUGAGUUGAUUAGGCCUAGUAGGACGUGCUUAAUUUUUAGUGAUGCAGCUCUUAUCCAUAUUUGCAAUUAUUGUGUAUACCAAAUUUUCAUAACCCCUAACUAUGCUGGCUGGGUUCCAUCCUAUCCAACCUGUUCAGUAUGUUCUUUGCCUGUGGUUCUGAUGCCCAGUUAGGGGUUAUGUUCCGGUGGAUUCUGAGUGGCAUGUGGUGGCUCUGAUGACCCUUGGGCCCCAAAGCUGUUCGGAAUUUAUUGUUGCUGCUACAGUUUAUGUGGUUGUAGUUAGGCCAUGGUAUGGUCUGCCCAUUGGAGCUGUUGCUACUGUUUUGCAUGGUGCAGAGCUUGGUUACUUGGUGGAUGGGCUGGUAGCUACCUGGUCUGAUUUUCGAGGAGCCUCUUGUAUUUCUUUUUUGAUUUUGUGGUUUAUUCACUCCAUUGUUUCUUUAUUUCUUUGGGUUAGUUGUGUUUCUCUUGUUUAUUCACUCCAUCAAGCAUUGUUGCUGGAUGGGUGAAUUUAAUGCUACCACUGGUUGGCUUCGAAAUUGGAAAGUUAGGAUGGAGAAGUGAAGAUUUUUCGGUGGCUGCAGACACAAUGCGGAUUUUAAGUCCGUAACAUUUUGCUGCAGUGAGAUAUAUUCACACAUCCUGGUUUUUCAAGUUUCAGCUAUAAAUAGCUGAAGAAGAAUGCACGGUGAUAACGAGCCAGAGAAUACUUGAGUAUAAUCCCGUGCCUCUGUAAAUAAUAUUUAUUAGGGGAAUUCACAUACCCGUAGAAAAUUACCACAAGGUUCAUAACACAGUACUCCAACCGGUACUUCCAUACCUAGAACACAUAACAGCAAUAAUAAGUCCUGUUUGGGCUAGCAAAUUUAGAUUAUUUGAAUUUUGAAUUUCUUUCAUCUUUAGUGAACUAAUUUUUUAUUGUUUUAUCAAAAUUUUAGUUUCAAAGUAAUUUAAAUUUUUUAAAUGUUUAGAUAAUUUAAAUUUUUUGAUCAAAAUAAUCAGAAAUCAAAGGGUCAAUUUCCGCUUCGAGUUAAUUUGACCCAUGUUUCACUUUAAACCUUAUAAUUUCAAUUUCAACAAAGCAUACCAUAGAGGUUUAGAUCAAUUGAAAUAUUAACAUGUGCCUAAUCAUGUUAAAUUUUUGAACAAAAAUUUUGAAUUAGAAGGACUAAAGUGAAAUUUGAGUUAAAACUUGAAGGGGUAAAAGGGAAAUUACUUUUUUGAGGAAAGAGAAAAGUUAAUAAUAUUUAAUGGAUUAAAUAUAAUACUUCUAAUUGCUUUUUCUUUUUCAUCUAUGAAUCCAUUCAUGUAGUAUCCUUUUUCCAAAUUAGAGUCAAAUGGGUCUUGUUGAGCCAAUUCGGCCCGUUUAUUUUCAUACUUUGCACUGUGCCUAUUUUUAAUUCUAUUGUGCCGUUCUUAUUUGAUAAAAAAUAAAAAUAUUAAACCCGUCACAAGAUCAAUUCAUGUCUUUGGUUUUUAUGUCAUAAUUUUGUUUAUAAUGAGUUUAAAAUGUGUCAAAAAUCUUAAAUCAUUUAAGAUUUACUCACAUAAAAUAUGUUGUGUCAUACCAGUGUCAUGCAGUAUUUGUGCCUUAUUGUGCCCCAAAAUUAAUAGCUCUGCCUGAUCUAUUAAUGUGCCGUACCCAUUAUAAUCGUGUUGUGUUUGUUGCAGCCCGCCACAAUGAAACCUUUACACUCCGUUUGGUAUCAGUUUUUUGGCUGUCUUUUUUUAAGUUUAUAAGCAAAAAAAUUAGUUAGAGGUGGUUUUUUUACUUUUUUAUUUUUAUUUUUAUUUUAUUUUUAUUUUUAGCUAAAGUAAAAUUAAAAAGACAAAAAAAUCUUAAUUUUUUUAUAAAAAACUUAAAAAAACUUAGUUUUUAAGCAUUAUAACAGUGCCUUAAUCCAAAUAAAGCCUAAAUAUUAAUAUUUUAAUAGAAUCCAAGAAAGAGUCAAAAUGAGUGAUAUGACAAUAAUACCAACAACAUUUAUUAUAAGCUGAGUUCACAAACUUUUAAAAAUACAUUAAAAACUAAAAACUUUUACGACAAACCGCGUACUCCAGCAACUACUUCACUCUUUUUUUUCCUUCUUUUUUCUGAACUGAUGGACAGGAAUUAUUUAAUCUCCAAAAAUACAUAUCCCGUUAUCUCGGUGCACUUUUAGCUGCACGAUCUAUUAAGAAUCUUAAAAUACUCAAAUUUUAAGACGCUAUUGUACAACUCAAACCACAUCGCGAUCGCAGAAAAUAAUUUUUAAGGGAGAGUCCUGUGCCUCAACUUUCUGGGAAAAAAUAUUUAAUUAAGGGUAAUCCCAGAUAACCUUAGCAAAUUAACCACCUAGCGUUGGUAACACGCUCCAUCCACUUCCAUACCUAGAACACUAGACAACACCAAUAAGCAGUACACCAUUGGGAUAGAUAUUUGAAUUUUUCAUCUUUUAAGAAACUUCUUCCCUAUAAAUCAAAAUUUAAGCUUUUUUUCAAGUUUUUAUUUGAUGAGUGCGCCCUAGAAAAUUAUAAAAAUCUUGGAUCAAAUAAAAAAAAAUACCUUAAAGCCAAAAAAAUCCGGUUUUCACUUCAUUUGAUUAUUUUUUUUUUUCUUAAUAAGUGUUUUCCAUAUAAGACCUUUUUUUUUUACUUGUUUAAUUAUAUAAAAAAUUUUGAUCAACGUAAUUACCUCCAAAUAAUUAAAAACAGCUAAAUUACCUUCAAAUUACUUGGAUUUGGACUCUAGUAUUGUUCUUAUAGCGUCUGCCAUUGCUUGAAUAUUGAGCCAAAUAAUUGGAGAGUAUCAGGUGUCUUCCCUGGCACCGAUCAGAUUUCACAUAAGCCACUCGAGCUUUGCACCCGAGCCUUCAUUGGAAUCGUGGAUCUGCCAUACUUUUGAGACGGUUACUUUGCAGUAGGUGAAGCCCACGUUGUUCUCACAUUAUCUUGAUGGUAAAGCUGUACUGGCCGGGUCCAGGGCAGCAACUUCGCGUGGAACCACUGGGAACCGCAAUCCCGUCUUCCGCCCCGAAUGGUGACGCGGUCGUCGUGUGAUCGGCUGCAGAAGCGACGAGUCCGGCGUGGGUGGUCCGUUACGAGCGCCUCCAGAGCGUAGGAUAUGUCGACGUUAGGUCUAUUUUACAAAUUGCCAAAGUCCUCGAAGAAAGACCACCUUGUAAAGGUGUAAAGCCCUCAGCCUUGCUUUUGCGGUGCCUUUCCAUCUGGGUUUGGGUUCCCUUCUUCUGCCAUGAUGAGAGAGAGAGAGAGAGAGAGAAGAGAGUAUAUGGGUUGGAAGAUUAGCAUGGCCAAACCUUGCCGUAUUUAUAGGCUAUAAGUCCCAGUUUGUUGUUAUUAUUAUUAUUUUUUUUGUUAAUAUUUUAUUUAAUUUUUGAGGUUUUUUUAUUCUUAAGUGAACAUUUUUAGCUGUUUGAUCAAAAUUUUAUAAUUUUUUUGAUUCUUCUCGAUGAGCCGAGUCAAAAAUACCAAAAAAAAAUCAUCUAAUUUGAAAAAAAAAAAUUACUAAAAAAGAAACAAAACAUUUUAGAUAUUUUUCUGGAUAAAAUAUUUUUUUGUUUGAAUUUUUUUCCAAAGUAAAUAAAUUUUUUUACAUUUCGAGUUUCUCUCGUCGAGAAAAAAUAAAAAUUAUAAAAUUUUGAUCAAAAGCUAUAUAAUUACACUUGAGAUAAUAAAAACUCGAAAUGAAGGAAUAAAAAAAAAUCCAAACUAGUCCUUAAAGAGAAGAUAAAUUACACUUUGCACCUCCAUAUGUUUCCUAAAAUGUUACUAUGUACUCUUUGUUUUGAAUUAUGUCAGCCAAUGGCAGACUGGAUGGGCCGAAGAUGGAUAAUUUAUUAUUGCACGUCGUUUUAAAUGGAAAUUUAUUUAGAAUGAAAAAUAAUGAGCUAAGACAGCCUUGAUGGGCAGAAGAUGGACAUUUAUUAUUGCACUCGACAGAUUGUAGUGAUAGGCUAAGUGGAAUUAAUUAAUUAAUACAAGUAUAAGAUAAAGGGUAAUGUUACAGUUAUCGCAUUUAUUACCGCACGCACCAAAACGUCUUUUUAGUGCAAAAAAAUAAAAACUACGUCUUUUCAGUUUUUUAAAUAAACGCGAUUUUUAGUUGAAUGACGUCGUUUUGAUUUUUUUGCACCAAAACGAUGUCUUUUUGGUGCAGUGCGACAACAAAUGUGAUAAACAAUGCGUGUAGCAUUACCCUAAGAUAAAUUACACUUUACACUGUUUUACGUUUACCAAAAUAUCACUUUACACUCUUAGGUAGUCUCUUGCUUUAUAAUUAUGUUAGUCAAUCUCUUAUAUUUAGUUUAGGUGUCAAUAAGGGUUUUUUCCACUGUCAUUAUAAGUUAAGGACCAUGUGGCUUCUUUCUUUGACACCACGUAAUUUCUUUCACAUCACUUACUGUAAACUCCAUCAUAAUGAUCAGUAUUGUAAAAAAUUACUUUAAUCAGGUACUAUUUAGUGAGUUUGGGAUAGGUAUUGUCCCUUAAAAUAAACACCAUACUUGCCAGUUAAAAGUACGUUAUUUUAGAUUUACUCUCUCAUAUUGCAGCAUCUUUAAAUAAACCUUCAAACUUGGAGAAUUGCUGGCAAUUUUGUUGGGUUAAAUUUUUAAAUCAAUAUCUAGAAUAAUUUUUCAAAAAUUAUUUUUAAGUGCAUAAAUACUUAUUUUUUCAUACCACAAAUAUUUAUGGUUUCCAUACAACAAAUAUUGUUUCCAUAUUUUCUCAGAAAAGAGUUUUGUUUUUAGAAAUUCUUAAAAAACAAGAUUCGAAAAUCAAACAAAUUUUCUUAAAAAUAUUCUUUAAAAAAAAUUGAUUGUGAAAACAUGCAAUUUUGCAAUCUGAUUGUGAAAACGACUAUUUUUACUUAUUAGAGAGUAAAUCUAGAACGAAAUAGUUUUAAUUAAAAUUUGAUCAAAACGACGUCGUUUUAACUGGUAUAUACGAUACUUACCUUUUUAAGGGGCAACCCCAAACAUCGUUUAUAUCCCGUUUUGAUAGUUUAUUCUCUAAUAAAUAAGUAUGAUACACAUGAUUAUACACAUUUAUCAUAAUAUAAAUUGAUAUUGAUCAAGUAUUGAUUUGUAUCCAAUCAAUAUAAUUUUUUACCGUAUUAAACUUUUAGAUGAAGUCUGCAAUAUAAAUAAUUUCAAUCGUCAAAAUGGGCCCAAACGGAAAGCAAAAUGCUUGGACUGCCAAGCUCUAUUUUGUUCUUCUUUUUUUAUAAUUUAAUAUAUUAAAUUUGCCAUUUUAUUUUCGAUAGGCCAUUAAUCGCCACCCCCUCCGCAACACAACCCCGAAUUCCCCGCGGGCCCACUCCUUGUUUGCAUGUUCAAUUACCAAUUAACCCCCCCCCCUCUCACUCUCUCUCUCUUCCCCGGGGGGCCCUCCAACCUCUAACCCAGCCCUUCUCUCUCUCUAGGGAUGGGCACUGGGCGGGGCGGGGCCCGGAGUUGGUUGUCCUCCGUCCCCGAUCGCCCGAAAUUUUUUUAAGCCCCGACCCCGCCCCGAUCCCCGGCGUGGAUUUUGUUGUACCCGCCGAUCCCCUCCCCGAACGGGGAAAACCGGGGAUCCCCCCCCGACUUUCCGAUCCCCGAAUUUGAAAACACCACAAAUCAAAAAUCCUAAAUCACCCACAAAUUCUAAAUUCAAAAAUUUGAAAAUCAAUCACAACACUAAAUCAACCAUAACAACCUAAAAGUUGAAACUCAAAAUCAAAGAUUAGACAAUUUUGAAACUCAAAAUUAAAAUUUAAAACUCAAAUCACCAUAAUCAAUCCAAUUUUAGGGUUAAUUUCACUUUGCACCCCUUCACUUUGAUUAAAUUAUUAUUUAGUAUUCUUUAUUUUUAUUUUAAUAUUUUCGUGGAUCGGGGCGGGGAUCGGGGCGGGGGUAUACAAUACCGCCCCCGCCCCGCCCCCGAAUUUUUUUUUUUUUUUAAUCCCGCAUCCCCGCCCCGACUCCCCAACAAAAUCCCCGAAACGUCACAAAGAACCCAAUCGGGGGCGGGACGGGCCGGGGCGUGGCGGGGCGGGGCGGGGCAAAUUGCCAUCCCUAUCUCUCUCCCCCCUUUUCUCUCUCUUAGUUAGUUUUAAAAAAUAAUAAAUUUUUUAUAUUUUUUUUAUACUUUUACCUUUCAAAUUUUAUCUAUUUAACACAAUAAGAAUUAUUUAUUAUUUUUUUUAAACCAUCUCAUCUUUCCUUUUUUUUUAAAAAAAUGUUUAAACAAACUUAAAAUUUUUUUAGUAAUUUUAUUUACAUAAAAAUAUAAAAAAAUAAUAACUUUACAUAUCAAUACAGUAGUAAAUUCAACAUUCCAUAAAAUUGGUGAAUGAUUAUAUAAAAAAAAAUUAUAAUAAAAGUUAUAAUCUUUUUUACUCCUAUCCUUAAAAUCAAAUAUCUAAAAAAUUGUGUAAGUGUUUAAAAUUUUUUUAAAAAAAUUCGAAAGAAGAGGGUGUAUUAACAAAAUACUAAAUAUAAUUCUUAAUAUUUAAAAACUUUUAAUAAAUAAUUCUUAUGUUUUCAACUCUUUUAUUUUUUUAAAAGAAAAAAAUAUGAAUCAAAUGUUUUAAUAUUUUUUUUUAUAAUUUCGAUGGUAGGAGUAAAAGAAUAUUUUUUGAAUCUAUAAUUUUUUAUAUAAAAAACAUAAGGAAGAUUAAAAAAAAUUAUAAUUUUUAUUAUAAUUUUUUAUAUAUAAAAUUCGAAAGUUAAAGUAACAGAAAAAAAUAGAAUAGAGGUAUUAAAAGAAAAAAAAAGAACUAAAAUGUUUGAAUGGUCUAUAUAUAAGAAUUUAUGAUAAAAUUUUAAAUUUCUUUUACUCCCACCUUAUGUUUUUUAUUAAAAAAAAAGUGGAUUAUAAAAAUAUUUUGAGAUAAAUAUUUUUGGAUAUGGUAGUAAAAAAAUUAUAAAAUUUGAUCUAAAAAAUAUUUUAGAUAAAAUUCGAGCUGAAAUUAAAAAUAAAAAUAAAAAAAGUUUGAUCAUUUUUUUUUAAAAAGAAUGGUUAUUCAAAAAAAAUUUAAUGAGUGAGAGAGGGAGAGAGAACCUGUACAAUCGAAUCGCCGAAAAAUAGCCAUGCUCGUAUUCGGAAAUUACUUUCGUCCAAAUUUUCGUGCACCCUCAUUAUCCUGUACCACCAACUCUAUUGUGGUGGUGCCAACAUGUAUCCAUCGAGUUAGGGGAUGGUUGAGAGUUAAUAGUCGAAUAAAUUUGUGUCAGAAAUAAUGGGCUGGAGAGGACCGGGUACUUCUGGAGGAGAUUUUUGGAGGAAUAUAUUAGAAAAUAAAUUUCUUAUGUAUGUUCAUUUUACUUUGCUUGAUAUGUAUUAAUAACAUUUAUUGUUUUCUCUAAAAAAAAUUAUGUAUUAAUAUUUAACUUUAGUGGUUUCCAAAAAAAGUUAUGUUAAUUAGUUGUGUAUUAGAUUUUAAUGGGACAGAUCAAAUCAAAAUAUAAAAAAGUUUAAUUAUUUAAAUUAUAACUAAAUAAUUAUUAUAUGUUCAAAAUAUUUUAUAAAUUCAAAAUGUGAAAGUAAAAAAAAUUAAAAAUUUGAAUAUUUUUUUAAUUUAAAAAUAAACAAAAGAUUAAAAACAUUCUCUUCUAAAAAUAUUUAUUAAAAAAUAAAAAGAAAAUUGAUAAAGAAAAUAAAAAAAAUAGUUUUUUAAUUUAAAAAUAAUUAAAAAAAGGAAGAAUUGGGUUGAAUGAUGUGGGUUGGGGCUGGAUGGAAAGAGAGUAGAGAGGAGAGAGAGAGAAGAGAAAGAUGUGGGGUGGGACCCGGGGGUGGGGGCCUGGGUGAAACCGUGAAAUCAUUGAGAGAGAGAGAGAGAGAGAGAGAGAGAGAGAGAUGACCGCGUGAGGGGGAGGGGGCAAAAAUGAAAAAUCACAAAUUUUAUUUGUACACCUCAGGUUUUGUCUUACAGUGGUGGUUUGUGAUUAUUUAUUUGCUUUUAUUCACGUUCCCCCUUAGCCGACGUGCCUGCCUGCCCCUGACUGACUAUCUUUCUUUCAUACCACAAACUUUUUUGAUUCUAUCUCAACGCUUAAUUUUCUCUCCAACUCAUCACUAGUGAUAAAUCUGGAUAAAUCCAAGUUCACCAACAUCCUUGGAACAAGCUUGAAUGGCACAAGAACCUUCUAUUUUUCCACUAUUAAAAUAUAUUCGAUUAACGUAAUUUUUUUAUAGUAUUAAAUUUUUUGAUCAGUUCUACAAUUUGAACAAUUUUUAUCAUUAAAAUUGAUCCAAAACAAUUAUCAAACUUUGAAAAAUCAUUAAAAAUUAAAUAUAAUAAUUCUUUAAAAAGUUAAAUUUCUAAAAAAAUAAUUUACAAGUUUAUUCAAAAAAGCUAAAGUAACCUUGGGUCUAGACUUGUAUUCAAAAGAGCCCCCUAGUCAAUUUAGAAGUUUAUUAAUUUUCAAUAGCUAAAGUAACCCUGGGUUUUUUUUAAUUUGCACUAAGUAAAUAUUUAAGAAUUUCUCUUGUUUAUCAUGUGAGGUAUUUAUUUGAGAACUUCUCUUGAUAAUUUUUUAUUUUUACUUUUAAAAUUUGUUGAUAAUUUCUUAUUUGUUAUCUUAUGUAAUGAUAAUCUUAUCCAUGCAAUAAUUUAGAAUUUAAUUAUUUCUCGAUAUAGAAAUCAUAUUUGAUAAUUUAUUAUUUUUUAUUUUAAAAAAUUAUUAUUGCUAGUAUUUCUCCUUAAAUUUUAUAUUAAAGCUAAUAGGAUGGUAGUUGCUCAAAAUGGACAUUUUAAAUAGUAAAUGUAUACUGUAGUUUUUUAUAAAAUAAGUACAUUAAAAGAUUUUAUUGUAAUUUUCUGAAAUAAGAUUUUUAAAUUACAACUCGCGAACCUCGUGGGGGCUAACUAAUAAUCAAAAAAUAACAACUCACACAAAUCACGUAUUCCAAAGAGAGAGAGAGAUUAUUAUUUAUUUAUUUAUUUUGUUAUUGUUUAUCUUGUUAUUGAGGUUGAGUUUUAUCUUAAUGAAUUUUUAACUGUUUAAUUAAAAUUUUAUAAUUUUUUGAUUCUUCUUGUCUAGCUAAGUUUAAAAACGUAAAAAAAUCAUUUAAUUUGAAGAAAAAAAUUACUAGAGAUGAAAAAAAUAUUUUAGAUAUUUUGUGAGUUUUUUUUUUUUUUGAUUUUAGUGAAUUUUCUUUACUAGACGAAAAUUUUUACAUUUUGGAUUCCUCUCAUCGAGAGAAAAUAAAAAAUAUAUAAAAUUUUGAUCAUAAGAUGAAUUAAGUACACUAAAAAUAAAAAUACUCAAAAAAAACUAAGGAACAAAAAAACCGAUAACCCAAACUGGUCCUUAAAAAAAGAGUAGAUGUGUUAUGUUAUACUUGUGUUUUAAACUAUCACUAGACAUACAUACGGGACAGCCUGGAUGGGCCGAAGAUGGAUAAUUUAUUACCGCACAUCGUUUCAACUUGAUAUUUAUUUAGAAUGAAAAACGAUGGGCUAAGACAGCCUUGUUGGGCAGAAGAUGGACAAUUUAUUAUUGCACUUGACAGAUGGUAGUGAUAGGCUAAUUGGAAUUAAUUAAUUAAUACAAGUAUAAGAAAAAAUACACCUUACAUUUUUCUACGUUUAUCAAAAUAUCACUUUGCAUACAUAGCUAGGUUCUUACUUUGUAAUUAUGUCAGUAAAAAUGUUUUUUCCCUCUAUUGCAGUACAAUGUAAGAUCAUUAUGGCUUUAUAUUGAUAACACAAAUUUAUUUCAUUACUUAGGCUCCGUUUGGCACCGUUUUUUUUAGGUGUUUUUUAAUUUUUGAAUUCAAAUAAGCAACAAAGCCAAUCAGAGUGGCUUUUUGUUUUCUGUUUUUUAUGUUUUAUUUAAUUUUAGCUUAAACUAAAGUCACAAAAAGCAAAAAGUCAAAGAUUUUGGACAUUUUUAAUUAACAAACUUAAAAAACACUUUGUUUCAUAUUACUACACGAGCCUUACUGUAAAUCCGUCAUGCUGGAUUAGGCUUGUAAAAUAUUAGUGUGAUGGGCACUAUUUAGUGCUGUGGGGGAAGGCAGAAAUCAAAUCACAACACAAGUGUGUUGAGUUGUGCCCUUAAUUAUUAAAACUCAUUAAGACUCCAUUUGAUAAUGAUAAAAAAUUAGUUUUUUGAAGUUUGUUAUUAAAAAAAUUAAUUUUUUUUAUUUUUUUAAUUUUUAUGACUUAUUUUAGUUAUAAAAAAAAUAAAAAAAUAAAAAUAAAAAAGCAAAAAAAUUAAUUCAUAAACUUAAAAAAAGUCAACCAAAAAGAUGGUACCAAAUUUAGCUUAAGUCACAACACCCACCAAUGAACGGGCCCCAUGAAAUUAAAUUGCCAUCCAGUGAUACGUUUUUUAUUAUUUUAUUAAAGGAGGGAAAACACACGUGGAAAACCCUCUUCAACACUAGAUAUUUUGGCUCCUUUUGGUGCCAGCUAUUUUUAGUUUUUUUUGAUUUUUAGUUAAAUAGUAAAAAAGGCAAUCAGAUGAUUUUUUUGUUGCUUUUUUACUUAGUUUAAUUUCAAGUAAAAGCUACACAAUUAAUAAAAGUCAAAAUCUUGUUUUUUGAUAGCAAACUUAAAAAAACUUGGCUUUAAACGUACCAAAACGGGCCUUUAUUUGUAUUAUUUGUUUUACAAAUAAACUUUUGUUGGACAAGAAGUGUAUGAGGGACCGACGCCAUAAAUUUACUCAAGAAAAGUAAUUGUACAUAUAAAAUAUAAAAUUUACAACUUAUAUAUAAAAUGCAAUAGUAAUGUUUGAUUUUGGGGUGACGAACUUAUAUAAUUUGAUAAUAUUAGUAAGUAAUGCUCCUAUAAAACUAAUUUUUUAAUAACCUUUGGGGCGCGGCGCAACCCCCAACCACUUCCCUUGGGUCCAUCAUGAGCGGGCUGUGUGUUGACCCUUGACUUCGAUUGGAGUGGUCAGAUUUGAAGUUUAUGAAGAGAGUACCGAAGUCAAUAGUAUAGGUUUUUAUUUGGGGUUAUUAUUUUUUUGAGGUUUAUAUAGUUGUUUUAAUAUUCGGAUUUUCUUGUCCUUAGUGCAAUUUUUUUUUUACCGUUCAAUUAAAUUUUUAUAUUUUUUUUGGCUUUUCUUAACAAGAGUUGUCUGAAAAUAUAAAAAAUAAAUCAUCUAAUUUAUAAAAACGUUUAAUAAACCAAAAUAAAUUAUUUUUAUGUGAUUUUUAGUAAAAAUAAUUUACUUUUGUCUUUAAUAAACUUCUUUCCAAAUUCAAAUCAAUAUCCAAAUCGCAUGUUCAUGAUCUCAAAAUGAAUCUGUAUAAUCUCAAGAAAACAACUACAGUGCAGUCCUAUGUUGAUCAGAUUAAGGAGUAUGAUCACAAAUUGGCUGAAUCAUGAUCCGUAUUCGAUGAAGAGGAAGUGAUAUUUCAUACACUACAUGGGUCGGAUUUCUUGGUUUUUUCUAUCCUCUCCCUAUCUACUCUACUCCUCAAAUUCUCAGUUCUUAUUUCUCAACUGCUUCUCAAGAUGACUUGUCUUCUCCUCAAAUUUACAGGAAUCUUUGCAACAUUCGAAUAAGACACACUAUAUUGAUAUCGAAUCAGACUCUAUUUUAAUCAUAAACUCCACUUAAUGAAGGGCAAUUACCACAAAAAACGGUUGUCCUUUGGACUGUUAACUGCUACCCUUUGGAUCAUCAAUUUGCUUCGAGUUCUCUCUAUCCAUGCUCUCACUCCUACUACUAUUUGGUGUGACAAUCAAUCAGCUAUUACAUUAAUUCGGCAGUAAUCCUAGGUCUUUGAAGUUCUUAUUUACUUUCGUUGUUAACAUAUGAAAAGCCCAUGAUUUAAGGCAUUUUCCAAUUAAUAGAUAAUAAAUACAUUGACCAAUAACAAAGGGACACGUGUAUUAUUUAAUAUUAAAAAUUCAAAAUUAUAAGAAAAACGGAUUGAAACUUUCAAGUCCGUAGAGCUGUUAACGUUUUGCGAUAAUAUAUAGUAUAACUUUCCCAUUGUGAAUUUUUUUAAAAACCAAUUCUGCAAUUAUAAAAACAAGAUUUAAGGAUUUUUUUUUUUUAUAAACCACCACAAAUCGUAUUCUCUCUCUCUGUUAUCCUUUGGUGAGUCACCGGACACCAGCUAGGGCUAACCUAUAAUUCCUCUAGGUAAUAAAACCUCGGUUAGGCGGUAGCCGUUGUCAACCACCUUCAUUGUCAUACAACCUCCUUCCAACCAUUCAUCAUCGUGGAUAAAACAUAGCCGUUUUUAGUAUAUAAUAUUAAAUGAUUGAUAUAAUAAAAGUUUGAUUAAGAGUUUAAUUAUUUUGAAAAGACGUGGAUUGAAAUAGUAUGGUACUUAAGAUUUGAAGAGAUUCUAAGAUUGUUGAGUUUUGAGAAAAUCAUGCUUCAUGUGGUAACAUUAAUUUCGAAUUUAAUAUGAUUCUAAUAAUAAAAAAUUUAAAUAUUUAAUAUAAUAAGACUUUGUUAUAAUAUUCAGGGAUGGACCAAAAAGGAGGAUUGGCAAUCGUCACCUCAAAAUUUUUAUAAAAUAAUAGUAGUUUUCGCUAUGAAUAUUUUUCAAACUACAUAGAUCCACCACCCAAAAAUAAAAUUAGUAUUGUAUUUUAUGCUUAUAUCAUAAAUUUCGUGAUUUGCAUGUACAUUUAUCUCUUCAGAAUUAAAUAUUGCGUCCGUUUUUAGUAAUAUUGUUUAGAGAUUGAAACGUUUCUCCAAGAAUCUUGCCUACGUGAGAACUGAACCCAGAUUUUCCUUUAUUAUAAUACAUGUGAAAAAAUCAUGAACAACCUACCGAUUUGAUAAAAAUCUUAUUGAUAAUGAAAUGGAAAUUAAUAACAAGGGUGGCGUGUGUUUAAAUUCAAGGAACCUUCAAUCAUUCGAGAAAAAUAAUUAGAUUACAGGUGAAGUGCGAGAGGCAUUUAUUUAAGCACUUUAAAAUAAAAGGGAGAAUUACCGGACCUUUAUGAGGUUUUUUCUUUAAUAUCCAAAGUACUCCUGCGUUUGAACAAUUACAGUAUUUUGAAAAAAUUAUGCCUGACAACCUCCUUGACACUCAGCACCACUUUUCCUCCCAUUUUCUCGCUUAUAAACUGCCAAAAUGCCGCCCCUCUCUCUCUCUCUCUCUCAUCCAUCCCCUCUCUCUCCUCGCCCCUUUCUCUCUCGUCCUUGCUUUCUCCCCCCUCCUCGCCUCAGGGGUCACCGGGGCGAUCGUGUCCUACAGGGGACUCACUGCUGGCGCUAACAUAGAGGAAGAGCAUCGGCUGGAGAGAGGCGGUUGUUGCUGUGCCGGGGAGGGAAAGGGGCGCGGCUCGGACCGGCCGGGGGGUCCGAGCGAUGAUCUCUCCUCGUCUUUAUGUUUCCCUCGUUUUCUUUUUCCCUGGGUUUUUUUUCCUUUUUCCUCUAAAUUUUUUUU
rnacentral:lncRNA from 1 species